rnacentral:lncRNA from 1 species
CAGCCCAUAGUCGAAAGACGGUUGCUCGAGAGAUGUUGAACUUCAAUUGUGCUUCCUUGUACCUGCCUUUACUGGGCUUCCCAUCCUUACUGCCUUCAAGGAUAAAUUGUGCCACUUGAUUCCUCUUUUGUGUUGUUAGAUUUGUGCUCAUUUUGUAGUAGCAUUGAAAUGUGUAAAUGCAUUUAUUAGAGAGAGGCUGAACUCUUAAUGCAUUUAUAAGCACUAUUUUUAGAAUUUUGGUGGGAACCCCAAUCUGUAAAGUGGCGCCACUUUCCAAAUUUUAAUUAAUGAAAUUGUUUUUGUAUCUCACUUUAUGCAUUUAAUUAAAGAGGCUGAACUCUUAAUGCACUUAAAAAAGGAACGUUUUUUUAACAUUAUUAAUAUUCAAAAUUUUAAUAUUUUAAUUAAAAUAAUUUAAUUAAAAUAAUUUAACUAAAAUAAUGCAAUUAAAAUUAUUCAGAAUUUAAUUAAAGUCCAUCUACAAAAAAAGUAAGAAUAAAACAAAUAGAAUAACAAACUAAUCACUUUUCACUUUAUUACCUACUACACUUGAACAACUAAACACACUUUUCUUAAUUCCCGUGCCCAAAAAAAAGGUCUCACAUACCACGGGACGGAGGGAGUAAAAGAGAGAUGAAAUUAACAAAACAUAGUAGAAUUAUACGGUGUUAGAAUGGAUUAUUGUGAGUUGGGUGUACUUUGUCAAAUUUUGUCACAUAUCAAAAAGGCUAUACUUGAAUUAAUAGAAAAUAACAGAAUGCUACACUUUCAUCAGCAAUAAUGAACAAAUUUGGUAAACAGACGCUCAAAACUUGCCAUGCUGUUACAACUGAAUAAUAAUAUGUACAUACGAUCAAAGCUUGGAGCUCAACAUCUGAUGGAAAUUCAUGUAGGCUUAAUCCAAAAAUCGGCGUGUUUACUCUUUUUAAGGAUUCUGCAUCUCCUGCGGUGGUGGUUUGUUACCAGAAGGGUGAUCAGAUGGAGAAGCACUCGAGCCCGACUUAGGAGUCGAGGUGCUAUGCUCGACUUGAUUCUCCGACUUCAUAUGAGAUUUCAAUGGCCGCUCGAAAUCUCUGGCUGCAGCAGGAUCUAUCACUAAUUUGCCUAGCUUUUGAUCCUGCAUCACCCACAAUUCGAAACAUAAGCCCAGCGACGCUCCAUUUCUCCUAUCUAGCAUUCAAAAUAAGUGCGAAAAUUCUAUCAGAUCAGACAGCUUACAUUCUGCAGUGCUUCAAGCUUCCUCUGCAGGGCUUCAUGCUCUGCCUGGAUACGGAAUGGAACGCCAUGCUUCUGAUACACGUUUGUUUGAGCCAAACCUUCGUCAAUUUCACUAGCAGUUGUUGCAAAAGGAUGAUUUGCAGGGAUCCAUCUGACAGUAUCAGGGUCUACAUCAGGAGGUAUCGGAUCCCCUUCCUUGAGAAAUACUGUUGGUCUCUUCCACUGGUAUGCACGGGAUCUUCGUUUCUGAUGUACUGUUUGUAGCUCGUCUGUAAGAGUCACAGGAGCAAGGCGGUACACUUUUCCACACAUUUCAACAGUUGAAUUGCUUUUGCUGACCUUCACCAUAGGGUUGUUAAAUGGGUCCUCAUACUUGAGAGGUGUGGAGCUGUGAUGAAGAACGACAAAAGGAAAAAUCAGGACAUGCAACGACCAAGACCAAGAAUCGGAGAACAUAACUUGGACUCUCAGCAAGCAAUAGGUAUGAAAAUCUUCAGAAGAAUUCAACAUGUGGAAUCUGUAUAUUUAGAUAAGCCUGUGGAACCAGAGAAAGAAAUGUGCCCAGAAAAAUUGAACUCUUACAUUGCUCAUCAACCAUAUCAAAUUAAGGCAUGAUUAGUGAAACCAAGCCGACAACCAAAGAAAGAAUUGUGCCCAGAAAAAUUGAACUCUUACACUGCUCAAUGAUCAUCAACCAUAUCAAAUUAAGACAUGAUUAGUGAAAGCUAAGUAAAGCUUAGAAACUUUAAAAUCCUAGAGCACAAUCUCAAUGAAAGCAAGUUAGAAUCAUACAUGCCUCUUCUAUCUGAUCUAAGCUGUCCACGCCGGACAAGAUCAGCCACGGAGCCUGGACGACGGUCACUUGACUUCUUUGAUGCAUAACCUUUAACCACGACAACUAAUACAGUCGCUACAAUGCACAAUCCAAUUGUGAAGUUCAUACCAGAAAGUUUUCUAACCUGCCAAAACCAAGAAAACGGAGUAAAUUUUUAACGAGAAUCACAUCCACUAUCUUAUGCAUGGUAAUGCAAUGCUUGAUUGGAAGUAAAGGUUGAGCUUUGCAGAAAUUUUUAAAAUUUUGAUGUAAGAAACUAGAGUUUCAUCCCAAGACAUUGAUAAACAUAGAAGCCGGUUGCUGAAAUUGAAUAGUACCCAUCAACCGAACUAUACUAUCACCCGUUAUCCUACACUAAAAGUUUCCUCUCUUAUCUGAAGCAACAAAAGAAGCUCUCAAAUGGAAAUAACUUCAGGGUAUUACAGCAAAUUUAAGAGUUCAACAAUUGACAAUGACAUAAGAAAACCUACAGAGCCUAGAGAGUAGAACAUAAAAAAGUAAACAAAUGUGUAAAUGAACAUAUAGCAUAGAUCAAAUGAAACAUGAAACUCAUUUCUUAUUAAGAUUGGAAUAAAGUUAUAAAGAUCAUAAUUCCAGAAAAUAAAAAUAGCUCACCGAGAAGGCGAACACCGGUAGAGAGCCAAUUGAUUCCUGCAAUUUGGCAACUACAUUUUGCUGUAGCUGUGGCUUCUCGGCAUUAACUUUCUCCGACUUCUCGACGACAACGGCAUCGUUUCGGAGGCCACUGUCGACGUCGGACUCCACUGCUUUCACCACAAACUUUCUGUAUGUAACUCUCCGGUUCGAGUACUUGCAGUUACAACCCAAACCCAGCUCCGACCAAAAUUGCAGUCCAUUUCGAAAAUUUCGAAGCUUUGCCCAAGAAAGUAAGAAAUGAGAAAUUCCAAAAUGUGAACACUCGAAAAUAAGAAAAUGUCGAAUAGAAUCGCGAGAGCGCCUGAGAGUUGACUUACAGGAAGGAACGACAGCGAACGAACGUGUACUGCCCCAAUUGAAGCCAUUUCUGGUACUGCUGUUAUUGGCGGAAUGGCAAAUCGGAGAUCAUUCCGGCAAAAUGGCGAUAAUUUAGGGCAAAUCGAGCUGGAUUGAGGUAGACGAUUGGGGAUAAAGAUAUUUGGUAUGUUAUUCUAAGUGAACGGGCAUUUUGGAGCCCGCAAUUGACUUUUCGUGUUAUAUUAUAUAGUAAGCCCGAUGGGCUGCAAUUUUAUGAAUAUUACAUCUAAUAAAAAUACUCUCUCCCUAAGGGUGCCUCCAACAAUGAUCCCAGUUUCUAGUUUCUAAAUUGCCACAUCACUGCUACGUCAGCUUUAGAAACCCACCUACUUUUUUCUCUCACAUCUCCUCCAACAAUAAACCAGUUUCUUACUUUUUCAGGGUUCCACCAUAAUACACACUCCCUCUAUAUAUCUAUAUAUAUAUUUCUCAAUUAAUUUUAUUUGUAUUAUUAUUUAUAUACUUUAAUUAUAUUUUUAAAUUAAAAUUCUAUAUUUUAAUUAUCUAAUUUAAUAAAAUAAAUUUAAUUUAAAAUUCUAAAUUAUAAUUAAAAUUACAUUAAUAAAAUUCAUAUUACAUUGCAAAAAUUAAAUUACAUUAAUUGAAACUACAAACAAACAAACAAUCAAAGAAUUAUUUCAAACCAAAACAAAUGAAAACAAAGAAAUAAAAAGCUGUGACCGAAAAUAUUAAAUAAAUGAAAAAAAAAAUAAUCAACAAAUGUGUUCAACUCCAAUAAGCCGCAAAACAAAAUGGAAAAAGAAAAUAAAAAGGCAAAAGAUGAAGGGGGGCCCGCAAUUUGUCAGAGUGAAGCUGGGUGCAAUUUUGCACCUAGUUUCUUGGCUUCCAAAUUGAAACUGGUUUCUUCACACUCCAACGGUGGUUCCCAAAAGUGAAAACUGGAAAUUACCACCGUUGGAGGCACCCUAAGUCUCAUCGUCCCAAUAAAACUGAAUCGUUUCCUUUUUUGGUAAAAGUUAUAUAGAAUUUAAAACUCUACUAACAUAACUAAUUACAAUAACAUUGAUAGGGUUUGUUUUUGUGGAUGGGAUAGAUAGGAUCAUCAUAUUAAUAGGAUUGGAGGAGUGAUUAAAUAAUUCACUCAAUUUUAAGAUGAUAAAAUAAUCACUUAAUUAAAUGAUUAAAUAUGGAUCGAAUUAUCAAUUAUGGACUCAAUUAUGCAAACCAAACACUUGAUUAAAAUGAAUUAUUUUAUCAAUUAUAUCUUAUCACUCAAACCAAACACCUCCCAAUACAUACAUUGCCUUUAAAUUCACAAAUUGAUUAUAAAGGUUGUGGAGAAAUAAGGAGACUUUUAUGUAAAUUGAUUACGGCAAAUUGAAUAGCACAAAAAUAUAAUCUGAGUGCAAAAAAUUGACUACCACAAGACUUUUAAGUAAAAAAAAUUAUUACUGCAACAACAUGAACAAGGCGAUAACAGAUGUACUUAUUGCGAAAAGCGGGAGAAAGAAUAGUAGAAAAAUACGGCAUAAGGGAGAAUAAUAUUGUGGGAAGAUCACUCUCAAAAAAAAAAUAUUGUGGGAAGAUUGAAUAUGGUUAAGUUUUGUUCAACUGAUAACUCAAACUAGACUUGAGUGCAUAAGGAUUGAGUGCUUAUUUGGUUCAACUAAAAAAUGAAAAAAUGAUGAAAUCAAAUAAAGGAAAUGAUUAAUAACAAAAAUUUUAUUUUUAUUAAGUGUUUGAUUUAACAAUAAAAAAGAAUUACUAGGUAGGGAUUCAUUUUCUUUUAUUGCUCCUCUAUUUUUAGGAUUAACAAAUUGAGUGAUUGUGUUACCCUUCUCUAUUUUAAUAGCUAACAACAUUCAAUAUACUAAAUCAUUUUCCAAGCUCCAAAAAAGUCCAACCAAUCAUGGGCGGAAUAUAACUUGAUUGGUAUUUUGAUUAAUCAAAAUUUCAAAUAAUUCAGUUACCCAUAGCAUAUUUCAAGUUUGACUGGCCAAAAUUUUCAAUUCAUGUAACUGUAACGAACUCCUACACCUAGAUUUUUGACGCAAUUAGGAGCGUUUACUUUGAAAAAUUAACCUUGAUAGGUAAAUAUAAUCAAAUUAAUCUCUUGUUUGUUUAGAUGGACUGGAACUUUAGAAUAUUAUAAGGCUUUGGAUGAUUUUUAUCAUUUAAGCUAAUUUUACUUUAUUUUUAUUCCACUAAAAGAGUUAGAUUUGAGAAAAUCUACUUUUAAAGAUAAAAAUACUCAAUCAUGCAUUUAUCCAUCAUGUAAAGUAAAAAUCUUCUAAGGGUGCUUUCUCUUUGGUUGUAAAAUUAUCAUGGAAAAAUGAGGGAUAAUCAAAAUUUUACUCUUUAAAUCCUUCAUUUCUUUUCAUUCAUUUUCUACUUGACCAUUACUUAUUCCUCAUUUUCACUAUAAAUGAGGGAUAAUAUUAUCAAACCAUUUUUGGAGGGAUAAUAUUAUCCCUCCUUUGUAGUGAAAAUGAGGAAUGAGUACGUAAGGGGUAAAAUAGAAAACAAGGAAAAAUAUUGAAAAGAUUUAAAGGGUGAAAACAUAUUUUAUCCCUUAUUUUUCCAUUAUAAAUUUACCAUCAAAGAGAACGCCCCCUAAGUGUAUAACGACGAAAAAUGAUUUUUUAUAUAAAGAAAUAAAGUUUUAUACGAUUUUUUUUGUAUAGAAGUACUAUCGUAAUACAAAAUUUUAGUAAAUAUUUCCUUAAACUCACGUGAUUGAUACGGAACCAUAAUUCACUUCUAAGCCCACGUUUGGUUGGGUGUUUUUAGAGGUUGAAAAGAGAAUCAAGUAAGUGAAUCCAUUAAUUGUUGUUUGGUUUUGGUAAUGAGUUAACCAUUACCUUUACUUGAGGGUAACUCAAUCACCCAAUUUGUUACCCCUCAAAAUAAAGGGGAAACAAAAGAAAGGAAAUCUCUUACUAAUGAUUCGUUUUCAUUGUUAAAUCAAACACUCAAUAAAAGUAAUGGUUAUUGUUACCAUUCCACUCCUUUAUUUGAUUCCAUUCUUCUACUUGAACGAAACGAGCACUAAAUAUAAUUAUGUAUAAUUUGCAUAGUUGGCCGAUUAGUUUAAUAUUCUGAAUUUUUACAUUAAGUGGUAUCCUGAUAAAUUUGAGUGGAACAAUCAUAAGUCAUAACCUCUCGUAGAAAAUAUUUAACCUUAAACGUUGACUACUCUGCGUCACGCACACGAUAUUAUAUUUUUCAUCAAUUCAAUUCAAUUUAUAAGAGCUCAUUAUUAUUCAACAAUAAUUAUUAAGAAGAAAAGGAAAUAAUAAUAAAAAAUUAAAAUGAUAGAAUGUGAUGGAGCCACAACUUUUUAUAAGAAAAUGGGAUUUUUUAAAAAAUAGAUCAUUAUUAUAAUUGGAAAAAAAAGUUAAAAAUUUAAGAUGAUAGAAUAUGGAGCCACAACUUUUUAUAAGAAAAUGUGGAUUUUGUUUUAAAACAGAUCGAGGUAUUUCUCCUCAAAAAAAACAGAUCGAGGUAUUUUUAUUUAAUUUUUGGAGAUUAAUCCAACUCAUAUUUUCUUAGUUUCGAAAAAAUUAUCCAUAUUUCAAUAUAGUUAUGUAGGAUUCUAUUUUACUUAAUAGUUUAAAUAUACAAAGUCACGACACUUGAAAAGAUUAAUUGAUUUUUAACAAUAUUAUAUAUUUGCUGCACUCAUAAUUAUAAAUUUAAUAUAGAGCAAAAUAUUAGAUUGAGUCAGCCUACAAUAAAGAAUUAGUUAGAUAAAAGUUGAACUAGAUUUGGUGGGGUGCGCCAGGCCCAUGCAAUAGUGCAACGCAAGGACGACGCGCGAGAACCCAGAUAGCAAGCUAUCUUGAUGGGCCCUCCCCCUCAAGAAAUAAAUUUAAUAUCGUGUGGGCCGAUGGCCCACAUAUCAGAUAUUAAACUGAUAAGAACAGAUACUACACUUGAUCUUAGCCAAAAGGCCGAGAAAGGUAUGAGCUUACACUCUGUUUGGCCUGGUAUUUAUACUAGUAUUUCUUCACUUCUCUUUUAAACAAGAAACGAUGUGGGAUGCUAGAGAAAGAAAACCUUUGAGUUCCUAAACUUUGCCUAGUUCGAGUUUACAGUUCGGCUUCCUUUCUCACUUGCAUUGAUUUGUAUUUAUAUGUGUGUCAGUGUGUGUAAUGAAAUGUAUAUGGAAUCUUUGUACACUUUUUUUUUAGAAGAUCAAGAUAAAAAUAUAUAAAUGGUUACUACAAGGGGUACUCAACUCCUAAAGCACUUUUAUAAGGAGAAUUAGAACAAGAUUACAAGCUAAAUAGUAUACACUCUCUCGGAUUAAAACACCAGUCUGCUAAUGAAUAGGAGAAAGACUUAGGAUAGUUUGCAUGUAGCCAUUUUCAAGAGUUAAUCUUCACGCCUUCCACAAUCUUUGCAAAAUUCAGAUUAAUGUCCUUAAAAAUAAGCCCGUUUUCUGCUUUUCAAAAUUUUCAAAUUGUGCAUUGCCAAAUUAAGAAAAAUUAAUGUAUAAAAUGACAAUAUUGAUCAUAUUUUUUACACUUAAAUAUUAUCACACUAUAUUAUAAGAAAAUUAAUGUAUAAAAUGUUCAUUGAGAUUGAUUUGGUGCAUUAUAGAUUAAAUAUUAACACUCUAUUAUAAGAAGCUCAACAAAACUAAGGAGAACCCGUCUCUUUCUCGGCUAUGUUGAUGCUUUAUCAAUAAAAAUCGACGAAUACAUACUAGUUUUUUUUUUUUUUUGAUCGAGCAAAAUCAUGUUAGAUGUUAGUAGUUAGUUCCUUCAUCCACUCCAAGAACCACCUUAUCUCUCCAUUCACCAAAAUCCACCUUAUAUCUCCCCAAUCUCCAAUUCGCUCCCAAGAGGGAUCGAACCCGGGUCACGAAUACAUACUAGUAGUAUUUCCUUGAGCUUGUUGUAAGCUUUAUAUGCUUUAAUAUAUAUUGAGAAGGGCAACACUAAUGAUUUCCUGUCUAAUUUUUGGUUUAUAAUCUUCUUUGUGUAGAUAACCUUGAAAAAAUGUUAAUAACCGUUGCAUUAUGUAUAUAAAAAUACGCAUUAUUGUUCCAUUUAGGUAGGUGCAAAGUGGCAUUUUUUUCCUUUGGGUAUGCCCAAGGUACUUAGUUUGUAAGUUUCUUUCUUUAUUUAAUAGUAUAUGGUAUUUUUCAUCAAAAAAAAAUACUGCAUUAUAUAUGGUCUUGAACAAUGACAAACAUGUGCAUUUCUUACUUACUGUGUUAGCCUAUCUGAUGCUCAAAUCAUUAGGCAACUCAACAAUCAUGGCUUUUUUUUGUGGCAGCAACAGGUUAAUGGCUUUAUCUUUUCCAAAAUAAAAUUUACUUUUUAUAUGAGUUUUGAUAUUUCAAAUUCGAAGUACCAGUCCUUGAUCUAAAAAAAUUUAUGCCAAAAACUUGCAUAAUUUUUUUUUUUUAAAAAUGUUACAACCAUAGAAAAGAAAAAAUCCACUCACACUCUAGUUCCUAUGGUGACUCGAACCCCCAACCUAUUGGUUAGAGGAAAAGUGUCUUACCAACAGACAACGCUUCAUUAUCUGUGAGCAUUUAUUAUAAAUAUUGCUGACAUGUGUACUUCAUGUUAGUAUUUAUAUUUUUCUUUUUUCAUGAUAUUUUUUUUCUUAUAUCCCACAAGUCAUUAUCAAAAUCAUCAAAUUUUCAAUACAGGUAAGAAAUCAAAGCUCAAGUCAAACAAUCCUCCAUGUAUAUAUCCUGAAAAAAUAUAUGUAUAUAUAUAUGAUGCCCACAUUAAUAUAUAGGAGUUAUCAACUUUGUUGUUAGUGGGGUUUAGUGGAAGAAUGGAGGCCCCUCCAUCUUGGGUUUAUUGAACGGCUACCAUUGAAAGGCAAUAAAAUGGAGAAUUAAUAUGUCCCUUCAUAAAUAAAUUAUUGCAAUAUUUGCACCAUUUAGUUGGUUUAGCGUUAUCAUAAUAGGUUAGAAGUUGGCAACUUUUAGCACAUAAAAAAGUCGGCUGUCGGAUAGAAAUUGCAAAGUUCGUUCAUAUCCUCGUAAAUAUAUCUCUCUUUAUUUUAUGAUAUCCUUGAAAUUAUCAUAUGAUUAAUUUUGUCAUUUUUUAGUUGCUCUUUUUGUUGUUUAACAACUAUUGUCCAACAAGAUAUAAAGCAUCUUAUAUAGUUCCAUUAUAUUAAAAGGUUAUAUACUUCAACCAUUUAUAUAGGUGUGCAAAUUGAUUUUUGAUACUAGCUACUAGAAAAGGGUAAAUUUAAUGUUUUAAUUAUCACUAGUGCCAUGCCAUCAUAAAGUUUGAAUAUGAAUAUCUUUUCGUUCUUAUUAUUAUAACAAGAAUAUAGUAUUGGAAUAUACUUUGAAACUUCAACCUCAGCUCCUAGGUCCUGUCUAAUUGGAAAGGCCAAAGGAAUUCCGUUAGGAAAGUUGGUAGUCACUACAAACAUGUCCUAACUUUGGAGUCUUUUUAAAAAAUGAAACUUUUGUUUAUUUAUCUUUUUAAAAAGAAAUUUUCAAUUUUGAUUGAGAUCGAUGAUUCAACGUUAAAAGGUUGAAUUAGCUCAUAGUGAAUAUCAUAUGUUGAUUAUGGACAAAAUUGAAACUUUUGGUUGAAUUGAUUGUUUCGCCACAAAAAAAGGCUACAGAUUAUCGACAAAUUUCACCUUAAUUUCGCUUGAGAGGAAACAUGCAAAUUUGAAAAUUAAUCGAAUUUGGACAUAAUUCCGCACUAAUUAAGUUAUGUUGAACGACAUGUAAUAUUGGAAUAGAGUAGGCACGUGUCUGACUACCACAUUAGCCCGAGUGAAAUUUAGUUUUUGCGAAAUUUAUAAUUAUAGAAAAAAUGAACAAAAUAAAAAAUUAAUAAUUUUAUAAAAAAACUUCAAAAAGCAUGUGCAAAUUAAAAAGUGGAAGCAAAAUUCGUGUAUUUAUAUGUAGUACUUUUUUUCCCAAUAGAAACCAGGAUUCAAUUUUUAUAGUAUAUAUAUGUAUAUUUCUUGGCAUUUAACAAGAAAUCAUGGUUCAAAUCGUGAGAUACAGGGAGAGGUCACACCCGCCGACGUGGAUCGCAUCUUCCGAGAGGUAGUCACUCCUGAUCCGAAGGGGCGCAUCAUGGGAUUAGGUAUGAUGAUGUCGAAGGCGCUUACUUCAGGCGACGGCGAGUCGAGCACCUCCACCAGCACCUCACACUUCGAUGCUCCUUCAAAGGCUGAGUUUACCACUUUGAGGGAGGAUCUUGACACCACAGCGAGUGCUCUGACUAGAGCAGUGCAGGAGAUAGAGGCCAGGAGACAUAGAGAGGAGGAGCAGGCUAGGACUAUACAGGAGAUGCAGUCCCAGAUCGCGUUGCUCAUGCGAGGAUUUCGACCAUCCACCCCUUCUGAUGAGACUCACCCAGACCUUUGAUUAUGCUGACUAUGUUUGAUGUACUUUUUAUGCUUUGAAUACUGAAUUUCUGUUUUUGUUGAUAUUUUCUAGGAUUUUCUACUUUGUUAUGGGAUGAUUAUUUGUUUUUAGUAUUUUCAAGAUUUGGGACUACGAUUAUUAUGAAUCAUUUAUAUAUUGCUAUGUUAUGGAAAUAAUAAUAAUAGUAUACUAAUAAUCUGAAUAUAUAUAUAUAUAAUAAAUAAAAAAUAAAUAAAAAUAACGAACCGAAAUUCGGUCGUAGAAAGAAUCUUUCGGUCAAGGUCUCAUAACUGUAUAAACAGUAUUCAACGACCGUUUUUCGGUCGUUGAUUAACGACCGAAUGUUCGGUCGUUAAUAGUGCCGGUGGGGAAAGACCGGUAAGACUGCCGGAAUACCAACGACCGAAAUUUUCGGUCGUUAAUCAACGACCGAAAAACGGUCGUUGAAUUACGAACUUUGGUCGUAUGCUCAACGAAAUUUACGACCGAAAUUUCGGUCGUUAAGGCCGAAAUUUCGGUCGUUAGAAUCAACGACCGAACAUUCGGUCGUUAAAAGCCGCGCGACGCUCGAAGCUGCGACGCCCUUGUACGGUCGUAAAUUCGGUCGUUAACCAAUUUAACGACCGAAUUUCAGGUCUUAACGACCGAAAAUUCGGUCGUUAACGCCGCCUUUUCUUGUAGUGUCUAUUGUACUAUUUAAAUAAAGAACAAUUGAUUUUUGUAUUUUGUCGAUUUCUCCCUUUUCUUUUGAAGAGAAUAUAUUAGAUUCUAUUUCCCACUAUUUGUUAAUAAUUGGUGUGCGCAUGAUCUGGCGUGGUUCGAAUUGAAUAAAUGAAUAAGUCAAAUCUGUUAUUAAUAAAACUCUAAGUGUGAGCACUCAACAUAAAAAAAAAGAACAAAAAAAAACCUAGAAUGAAAAGUGUGAGUUGGACUGACAUAGCUCACAUUAUCUUGCAAGUAUCAAUCACUAAAUUGCUGCAUAAAAUACAAGAAUACUAGUAGUAUAUUGUAAUAAAUGUACAUGCAAACUCACUUACAAUGUGAAAAUGGUUUAUUCUAUUAUUAAUCCUCCUUUUAAAUGCAUAAGUAAGUGCAUUUAUAUCUAUAUAUGAAUGUAACAUUGAAAAAUAUAAUAGGGAAAGUUUUCAUACAACUAUAAUGAUAACAAGGGAAACAACAUAACAAAACGCAAGAAAUCUGGUCGAUGAAGUCGUUAGAUGCCUACAUCUAAAUUAAUUACAACUGGAAUUUUCGAUUGUUAAUUAUAAUGGCUUCUCAUAUAAUUUUUUUUUACCAGAAAACAUAUUUCUUCAAAAUUUACAAAUUUCAUUAUGAGUCUUGGAUUAAAUUUCUAUUAUUAGUGGUUCAGAAUUUUUGAACAUAAAAAUUCAAGAGAAUGUAUGAAUUAGUAGUGCCCACACUUGUUUAAGUGUUAGUAUAAUAUUUUUCAUUUAUAGUCUGAGCUACUUUUAAUUAGAUUAAUGAAAUACAUGUCACUAAUAAUAGAACGGAAGAAGUAUUAGUAACAUUAUGAUUAAUAUAGUUUAUUUAGGAAUUACUUUAUAUGUCACACUUUAAUAGUCUCUAUUCUUUUAAAUAUCUCAUGAUUAGUCUAUUUCUAAUUAUAUUAUAUUUAAAUAUUUUUUUACUAAAAUAUUUUAUUUAAUGUGUUCGAAGAUUAUAUAGAAUAAUAAAUAAGAAAUUAUAUGUAAAUUAUAUUUUUAAUUAAACAACAUUAAUUAUAUUCUUCGUUCAUAAAAUUUUUUACAUUUUAGUGAUUUUUUGCACCCAAAAAAUAUGUCAUUUUCCUUUUUAGGAAAUGAUUCCUAUUUUUUUUCUUAUCUUUUUCUUUUAAAUUAAAAUACUUCUUAUUUACAAAAGAAUUAUUCAUGUUUCACAUUUAAUUCAACUUCAAUAAUCUAUACUAUAUUAAAAAGGGAGUUUUCAAUUUCAAAUUGAUUUCAAAUCAAUUUCAAAAUUGAAUGACAAUUUUGUGGUUAGAAUAAAAUUGAAGGUUUAUUUAUAAGUUAUACAUCUUUUUUUUUCUUUUUCUUUAACUUCUUAUUUUUCUAUUUUAUCUCUUUUUUAAAAUUGUGAAAUUCUACUAAUUAUAAAAUAUUUGAUAUGGAUAUCAAAUUAAAGAUCAUGACAAGAGCUUUAAUUUGAUAUAUGUUAUGUAAAAUUGGAUUUAAAAUAUAAAAAUUAUAUUUAUUUAAAGAUUAAAACUUAAGAAAAUUCUCUCUCAUCUUUUUUUUAAAUAAAUCUAUUUUUUUCAAUUAUCUUUUAACUUAUUUUGUUUUUUUUCACAAUAUCAUUUAUUAUUAAUAUGAAUUAUUAUUUAUUAUUUUUAUAUUAACCUAAAAUAUAUUUAUCUUAAAUAAUAGUAUUUUUAAUUAUAUUUAUAAUUUUUAUAUAAUAAUCAAAUGAUAAUCAAUUUUAUGGAGUAUAUAAUAAAAUAUAAAAAUAUUUUUUGUGCGUUGCACGAGUGCAAAUGCUAGUUUAUUUUAUAUAACGGUGGAGUCCAUUUUUAACAUAUUGAAAUUAUUAAAUAUUGCAAUAAAAUCUAUGUCAAAUUAAAAUUAGGGUUAAGUAUCAAAUAAGCCCCUAACAUAGAGGCCCUUAUCACGUUUAGAUCCCUAUAGUCGAAGUUGGGCCAACUAAACCCUCAAGCUGCCUAAUUUCGAACAAUCGAGCCCUGCCUCUAACGGUCAGUUGACGCCGUUUGUUUUCAUUUUUUUAAUACGUGGGUUGUAGAUGAAUUCUACGCCGGAGCGGCUCUCAAUUCUUGGGCGAAAAUAUGUUGCCUCAAAUCCAGCAACACCAGUUGGAGAUCGACGCCAUAAUUUGCGAACAUGUAAUUAUUCUGAUGCACCAAUUAGAUUUGUUGAAUUUUGGUCGCAAGGAUUGGAGAAUCGGUGAUGAAAAGGUUGAGAGAGAAAGACGAUCAAAUCAAGAAAGUGGCGAAAUUGAAUCUAAUGCUUCAGGAAAAAGGCUAAGGGCCUCUACGUUGAGAACCAGCUAUGGCGAGAGAUGGCGCAGAUGAACGAGGCGGCGGGGAAUUCCCGUGCGCACCGACCUCCAACACGCCUUCGCUCAAUUCGGCGCGGCAGUGGCGGGUGAGAAGGNCUAUGGCGAGAGAUGGCGCAGAUGAACGAGGCGGCGGGGAAUUCCCUGCGCACCGACCUCCAACACGCCUUCGCUCAAUUCGGCGCGGCAGUGGCGGGUGAGAAGGAAGUGGAGUCGUGAGGCAGCUGUGACGAUGGGAGGGAUAUCGACGGCGGAGAGGCGAACAGUGAGAGGAGGCUGUGCCGGAUAUGGAACCCACAUCGGCUACCAGAAACACUCUGAUGCUUCAUCUUCUUCGAGGGCUCGAUUGGAGAGAAAGCCCAGAUCUUUGCCCAAAUUACCUAUUUUAAUUCAGUGAUCGGGGGAAUUCAGUGAAGGUUUUGAAGAAUAAUUCUGAAAGAGUGGGAGAGACACCAUUGUUCAAGAGCUCAACUCUAGUUGGCAGCUCAGGUGUUCGACGAAAUGCUGCAGAAGAGUCUAAUGGUGGCAAUGGCAGCGCUGCAUCUGCGGUUGUGCGAAUUUGAUGUAGAAAUUGAAUCUGAUUGGGAUGGAGUCUCGAAAUCUGCUUUUGCGGUUGUUUCUAGUGAGCGUGGCGAAGAAGAAGGGGUGGGUCCCACCACUAACGAAAUAAAAAAGAAAAUUAAUUUAAAAUAGUUAACGGUGUUAAACGACCGUUAAGUCGAAGGGGCUAAUUGUUCGAAAUUAGGCAGUUUGAGGGUUUAAUUGACCCAAUUUCAACUAUAUGGAUCUAAACGUGAUAAGGGCCUUUAUGUUAGGACUUAUUUGAUACUUAACCCUUAAAAUUAGUAAUAUUUUCAUAGAUGGAGGAACGAUCAAAACUUGUAAUUAAAUCGGAUAUAUGACUGUACAUAUGAAUAUAGGCAAGUUUUAGGGCGCCAAACUAAUUACGAGAUAAAACCUAUACUAACUAUGCUUUCCCUCGGCUCCGGCCGCAAUCCGGCGACGGAACAGCCGGUCGACGGCGGAAGGCGGCCGCACUUCCGGCAACGCGCUACCUCCAAAAUCUGGCGGCACGACGGACAGGAUGCGUGGGAGGCCAGCCACGUGUCGACGCACCCGACGUGGAAACCGUGGCCGCACUGCGGCAGCACUCGUACCUCAUCGCCGGCGGCGAACUCCGCCAGACAAAUGGCGCAGUCGUGGAGCUUCGCCGCCUCUAAUUCGUUGCCUUGGCCGUAGGUGAGCUUCGGCAGCGAUUUCAGAACCUUCUUCUUCAGGCCUUUGCUGGAGGCGGUCGCCGGCGACGAUGCCGGAUAUCUUCCGGCGAGGCGGCGGAUCCAGGAGCAGCGCGAGACGGCGACGAGUCCGAGCACGCAGAUUAGGGCGCAGAGGAGAGCGGCGAUGAUCACUAUGAAGUCGGAAUCGAUUGCUUCGAUCGCCGCGGAGGAGUCGCGAGACGGCGGCGAGUUUGCGCCGCCGAGGAGAGAGCGGGCAGUCAUGUAGAGAGAGAAAGGGAGUAAGGAGUAGCGUUGAGGUGUGGAUGGAGGUUUGGAAUUAAGCUGGGUAUUAUAUAAGGAAAGGUAGUUGGAGAAGCAACUUUUUAACUGAAAUUUGAAUUUCUUCGAAAAUUAAAAAACUGACAUUUGAAUUAGCUGAUAAGGGAUAAGAUAAGUCUUGCCGCCGCUCUACACACGUUUAUUUAUGUAUGUAUCCUACAAUAUUUGAGUGCUAUAUAUAUAUAAUGUUUGUUUGGUAUUCAUUUAAUUCAGUCACUACUCACAAAACAUCUUUUCACAUUGAUUAUGAAGAUGCAUGUAUUGUAUUGUAUAAUGUGUCUUUCAAAUAUGUAGAUGAAGAGCACCAUAAUUCAGAAAACGAAAGGAAUUCUUUUCACUCCAACUUUUAGGAAUAGUAGUUUCAUCUUAUUUGAGAAAGAAGAUUGGUAGGGAUUCGACGACACAUGUGUUACUACUGUAAUCACAUAUGAUACGAUAAUUUGUUGUUCAAUAAAUAAUUUUUUUAGCAAUCGAAUGAUUAUAAUUUCAUAAUUAAUUAGCGAUGGCUUUUGAGUAUUCGCAUAAUAUUAUAUCGUUAUUCCAUCUCUAAUAAGAGAAAAUGAGCAUAAAUAAAAGGACAAUGUCGUUUGAAUAUAAAGAAGAACGUCUACAAUUGAAACCACGUGCUAAUUUGCUAUCUUCAAUACGUACAAUAAUUAUCACGAUGAACUAUUUUUUAUAUAACCAUAUAUUUCUAAUGUUCUAUCAUUGAGUUCUUUUACGCUCACCUUCACAUGUGAAAUAUUUCACGAAAAUAAUGAUUCCAAAUUGAACCAAACUAUGGGCUCUACAAAUUUAAUUCCAUCUUUAUAAUUUAGAAAGUUCACAUGAUAAGUAGCAGAGUUUACUAUGGAAUCGAACCACUUGCCACUUAAAAAGGUGAGUGCAUUUCAACCCAUCAAGAAUUAAAGUCUUCAAAUAUCAAGUGGGUCAUUAUUUGUAAAUAGUUUUACAAUGAUUAAAAGCGAGAAAUUGUAAAGAAGAGUGAAUUCAACUUCGAAACUUGAAAAUUAUUUUUAUUUGGAUACAUGAUAACAAGUUAUAAUAGUUGAGGAUUAUUUUGAGAAACUAGCUAGAUUUUUAAUUUAAUUAUCAUUUAUAUAUAUUCUCACAUUUAUUUAUACACGCAAUCUAGCAAAUUAAUGUCGCAUUAAUUCGUUUUUCCUUGGUCGGCAACACAGCGAAAUUUGAGCAACUGCGCGCACAUGCACCUCACCAAUAGUGCUAUAAAUAAAUGUUUGCCCAUAGUUUCCGUCUCUAUCUUAAAUAAUAUUUUUGCUAUUCGUAUAAAGUUACAUUGAUAUGUCAUUUGACACGUAUCGCUUUAGACUAAAUAUUUAGGAACUAAAAUAUUUUUUCAAAUAAAGAUAAUAAUCCAUAUAUAACACUACUUCUACUUUUGCAUGUCAUAACAAUUCCCCUCUCUAACUAAAACAAUGCAACGGGUGCAGUGAUAGAUGGAUAAGGACUAGAUAUCUGUUCGGCAAACUAUUGAAAAAUAUUUUGUUUUGUUUUGUUCACUUUUUCUCUCUUUGGUAUUAUACAAAUGCAAUGCACCGAAAACAGUUAUUUUAAAUAAGAUUCGGUAAAACUUCGGUGAAUUUCAUAUAAAGCAAACAAUCAACGUACAUAUAUACAUGGGUGGGCUAAAAUAAAAACACCUCUUAAUAUAUAAAAUAGGAAUCAUUUUCAACCUUUAAUCAUCAAGAUCUACGGUAAAUUAAUCACUUUGUUGGAUGAAUUCAUGGUCCCGAGUUCGAAUCUCAUAAAUAGCAAAAAAAUUAAUUUUCACAAUUCAUACUGCAGUUAAACAGCAAAUUCAUACGUGUUCUACAUAAAAUUCAUGCAUUUAAACUAGUUUAUAAUUUAUAUGUUAAGAUGUGUUUAUACUGUAGUCUUCUCCGAUAUAUAUAUCAAUGACAGUUUAAUGAAUUCAUAGGUUCUAAAAUCAAUAUUUAAUAAACUUCACAUAUGCCAAAACAUUUAUAAAGAAGUCUAUAUUUAAUUUGAACUAUAAGAAAUAUAAUUCUUAUCUCUUACCUUAAUCGUAUACCAGUUUAAAUUAAACUGUUAUACGAUUUCAGGAUUAAAAACGUCAUAUUAUAAAUAUAAGUUUAUAAAUCUUAGUUACAAUCCUCCGGCCGAUAAGAAACAAGAGCUCCCAUUUAUUGGGAGAAAAUAAGGAAUUUAAUUAAAAUCCUGAAAAUGUAUCACUCAUAAAUCUUGCAUUCCUCGUCUGCAGGGCUAGUCUUGCAGAAAUCCUCCAAAAGGGUCUCCAGUGGCGUCUGCAACGCCAGUGGGCCACUUGUUGGCUACCAAAUGAGCUAAAAUCCACAACCCUUUGGCUGAAAAAACACAUGCAGAUGCAGUUGAUAUGUUAAUGUAAUGCAAUAGGAAGAAAUUAAUUAAAGUGGUGUUGUUGUUAAAGAGUUAAGACCUGUAUCCCCACUCGUUGUCGUACCAAGCGACGACCUUGAGCAUGUCGUCGCCCAUGACCAUGGUGAGCGACGAGUCGAUGGUGGAGGACACGUCGCUGCACCGGAAGUCCACUGACACCAGAGGCUCGUCGCACACCGCCAGCACGCCCGCCAGCGGCCCCUCCGCCGCCUUUCUGAAUGCCGCAUUCACAUCCUCCGCCGAUAUCCCUUUCUUCGCCACGUUCACCACCAGAUCCACCACCGACACGUUCGGCGUCGGCACGCGCAGUGCUAUGCCGUUCAGCUUCCCCUUCAGCUGCGGCAGCACCAGGGACACCGCCUUCGCCGCCCCCGUGCUCGUCGGCACGAUGUUCAGCGCCGCCGCCCGAGCUCGCCGGAGGUCCCUGUGGGAAGCAUCUAGAAGCCUCUGCACCCACAUCAUCAUAUCAUCAACCCUUUCUACUUUUUCAUAAUUGCAAUAAUCAUAGUAUAUAUGGUUAUUAAUUUACAAACUAGGGGACACUAUGAAGAAGUUCAAAUACUGAAUUAACAGAAUUUCACAAAACUAUAUAUACCUGAUCACCGGUGUAUGAGUGAGUAGUUGUCAUAGUUCCUUUCACAAUGCCUGCAAAAUUGCAUGACAAAACUCACUCAUUCACAAAAACAGAUGGAUAGAUAGAUAGAUAGAAGAAGCAAAAACUCCUACCAAAUUCUUCAUCCAAAAUCUUGACAAAGGGAGCCAAACAAUUGGUGGUGCAAGAAGCAUUGCUGCAAGAAUUCAAACAAAUUAACCACAAUAAUGUCAACUAAUGGCAAUGGCAAUUGCAAUGCAGCUGCACCACAAGUCUAGCUAGCAGCAACCUGAUGAUAUCAGCGACGUCGUGGUCGUAGUCGUGCUCGUUGACACCAACGACGUAGGUCGGGAUAUCAGCGCCCUUGGCCGGAGCAGUGAUGAUGACCUUCUUGGCUCCGGCUUGGAUGUGCUUGCCUGCUCCCGGACCAUCCACAAAAACACCAGUCCCCUGCAUAAAUUCUUCAUCAAUCAAUCAAUCAAGAAGCUCAAAAACUCGAUUAUUGUGGUGAUGAUGUACCUCGAUGACAAUGUCGAUGCCUAGCUCAGCCCAAGGGAGCUUGAGAGGGUCCCUGUUGGAGACAACCUUGAUGAGCUUCCCAUCAACGCUGAUCGUCUCGUUGUCCACUGUCUUCACAUCCGCCUUGAACGUGCCUAGCAUCGAGUCGUACUUGAGCAAGUGAGAAGCCUACAAUGCAAUGCUUAUGCAAGAAUCAGUGAGGGAUCAUUCUUCAACCUUAAACAAAACUGAUUUUUGGUCUCAAGUCUCACGUUUUUCACGCCACCGCUGUCAUUGACGACCACCACCUCCAGUGGGGAGUCCUUGCGGCCGUGCCAGCAGCGCAGGAAGUUCCUCCCAAUGCGCCCGAAUCCGUUGAUGGCGACCUUCAGUUUGGCCACAGUCUCUCCCUUAGCAGGAGCUGAUCCUGCAGUCUAAUCUUGCCCAUUUUCACCAUAGUCAAAACAUGAGAGAUCCCUAGUUUUGAGCGAUCAAAAACUUCAUUUAUUUCAACUAAGUGUAGAUGGAUUUAUAUAUUUUGUGCCUUAAACCUUAAAAUGUAUCAUAAUAGUAGCAUCAUCUAGAUCAAGAUGCCUUGCUAUAUCGACUUUUGGGAGCAAAAGAAGGCGAUAUUCGAAGUGAUCUCUACUCGAUUAUCGGAGAAAAGGCAGGGGAAAGUACCUUUGGGGUGACUUGGGCAGCCACUGCAUCAAAAAAGGAAGCUUCCCUACCAUUCUUGGCAAAAGUCACACAACCACUGGAUUUGAGGCCAGAGAAUUCUGCUACUUCAACUCUCUAUACAACCAUGAAAAUGAAUAAGAUCAAAUCCCUUGAAACCGCGAAAAUAUCACAAGAAUUGAAAUUUGAUCAUUCAAGUUAUGUAGAUCUAAAAAAAGUGUGGUAGCAAUUUGCAUCAAGAAUUGACCUUUGAGAAGCAUUGAGCAGGGAAAGAAUGAGAGGUCUUGGAAGGGAGCUUUGUGCAGGCUGGGAUUCUUGAAGAGGCCAAAGCUGCAUGGGACGCCAUUGCUGCAACUGAAAAAAGUUAAAUGAAAAAACUUACCAACAUAUAAAUUUUUAGAACAUGAAUUCAAUAUUGAGAAAGUAUUGUUUUUUGUCAUUUUGUUGGCCUAGAACUGAAACAAAUGAGUCAAGAUAUUGAGUGGUGAGGAUGGAAUGUGGAGAUUGAUAUUGGAUAAGAUGAUGCAUUUUCUUGCACCAUCAAAAUGCAUGUGAGCCACAGAUAUUUUUUUCUCCCAUUGUGGUUUUCAUUUCUUGAUGGCCCUUUUGAAAUAUUCAAUUAUUUUGAACUAAAAUUUCCCACGGUUUCCUGAAAGACUAACCAAUCAGAUAAAUAAUAGUUCUAAAUUUCUUCUGCUUGAUGAAGUAUGGGAAUUGGUGGUAGGAAACAGAGUCUAUUACAAAUAUCUUUUGCUGUCAUUACAACCUGGGAUAGAAAUGAAAAUGAUGUCUAAGAUUUGGGGUAGUGCCGUUGUGGGCAAGAAAUAGUGUUGGAUCUGUCUGUAAAUUUCACCCACUUGGCUUUGAAAUACUUGCAGUUUUUCAUAAUGUUGAAACUUGAAUGCCCAAGACAUUAUGUUUGGACACUACUUUGUCUCACAACUAGAAGGCAUAAAAUACAUAAAACACAGGUUUGUAUAGACCAAUACAAGAGGUUAUUAGACAUUGUGAUUUCUCGACAUACAUCAAAAGGCAGAACAAACUAACAGCAAAAUAGCACUAUCGUAUCAUGUCUUAAACCCGGCAUUCGUAGAACAAUGGCAUCAUCCACAGUGAAGGGUGGGUGCUGUGACCAUAUAUGUGCCUUAGAGGAAUCACCAGCCUUAGAUGAGGGCCUCGAUGUCAUCUGAGCUCACUGCUGCUCCAUUAGGUGGCUCUUCUGAUCGCAACUGCGUGGAUACAUUAUCUAUGGCAUCAUUCAGCUGUGCAAUCUUCUCAGCCAGUUUCUUGCGUUGCUUCUGCACAUUAAAUAUUUCACAAGUAUGUAAGUUGAAAGGAAACAACGGUAUGGAUGUCAUUAAACUGAAGAUGGAAAAACACCAACCGUGUCACUCUUCCUUAAACAAGAUACUAGAGAGUGCAUCUCAAAAUUGAAUGGGAAUACAUACUUAUGUAUUGAUCUACUCACACACAAGAAGUCCGUUAGACCUCAAGAUACUGCACAUUACAGUUAAAAACAAGCUUUAAUUUGUUUAUUUUUGGUUCUAAAAAGGUUUGAAGAUCUAUCAACAGAAGAAUAUAGGUUAUAUCUAAAGAGCUUUCACGAGCAGAACAUCUUUUUGAAUGGCAAUGUCCACAAUUCUUGACCUAAUUAGUCUAUGGAUAUGAAUAUAAAUAGACACCUGUAUAAGAAAUAUCCAUACCUCCAAGGCCUUUUCUUCAUCAUAGAUAAAUUUGGGCAGUUUUUUCAUGAGAUCCUUUUUGUCAGUUCCAGUUAAAGCCUUGCUGAUCUGUUGAAUAGUGGAUAGAGUACCCAGAUGUCAUUAUAUAAUUCUCUUCAACACUCAAUACAGCAGAAGAGAAUGCAAUUGCAGAAAACUUAUGAGGAAUUUUUUAUAGAUCAGCACAGUAUUACAUAAGAGUGAAAGACUAAGACAAACACGCAUAGGAGAAAAACUGAAAAACAAAUGAUAAUUCAUCUAAAAUACUUUGUUUCGAUCCUCACCUGAGGCGCAUAAACACAACCGAGUGUGCCAACAAUUAAUCCCCCUAAAACAAAGCCACUGACAAAGAUACUUGCACUGCCUGGCCUUCCACCAUCACUGCCAUAGGAUGCAUAAAACCACAAGAUAUUUUUAGAUCUAUCUCACAAGAAUCUAAAAAAAAGGAGGAAAAAUGUAGUGUUCCUAUCCUAUGUUUCUUUUAAGUACUUGUUUCACUAAUCUAGUUCUCCUUAUUCACAAUUAGAACCUUAUACAGAUCAUCUUGGUUCUUAUUUGGUGCUUGUUGGCAAAAAUACACGUAGCAUGUUAUCAUAGCAUUCAAUAAAAAUGAAAAAAGAACUGCACGCAAUAGCAAGAUUAGAGCAACUUGGAACUAAUUGAUAUAAAUCAAGCGCAAUGCAAUUAGCAGAGCCUUGAUAACAAGAGACGGGAAAGAAAACAAAAGCAAAGUGCUAAUGACAAAUUUCAUUACUACCAGUUUUACAACAAUAGUAAUUCAAUUUAUAUACCUAUAACUGGCUUGAACAGUGAGUAUCUUUCUGUGGGUGGAUGGUCUCCUGUUGCCCUUAAAACUCAAGGCCAAGUUAGUGGGUCUCACAAAUUGAUCAGCAGACUUCAAAGAAGAACCUAGCACAAAAGGCAAAAUAGACCAUUGUAAUAAGAUAAUAUUGAGAGGCACAUCCAUGGAAGGUAAGAUAUUUAGCAAGAGUAAUUAAACGAGUGGCACGAGAUGACUGCAACAUCCAUAAUUUGACUCUAACAUGUCUCAUCCAGCUUAGAAAGAAAAGUGCAUUCCUAUUCUAGUAAUCCUUCAAAGUAACAGUUGCCGUACAGAUAAAUACAUGAGAGAACAUUUAACUCUAUACGGAUCACUCGUAUUAGUGAGGAUGAGCUUCAAAAAAGUUGCUGGGCUUCUCCCAAAAGCAGAUAGUCCUAAUUUUUUAAAAAAGCCACUAAACAUUUCAAUGUAAGGUAAAAACUUCAUUGAAAUAACAACUGCAGCAAAAGUGAAUCCAUGAAUUCCUUUGCGUAGCCGUCUUCAUUAGUUUCAUAAAUUAUAAUAUGACUUUAUAUGUCACCCUCUUUCUUCACUUCACCUCUCCAUGCCCUAUUUCCCAAACAUCACAAACAUCAGCAAGUGCUACUAUGAUUAGGAAAACGAGCACAACUUCAGUUAUACAACAAAAUUCCGAUAACGAAGUAAAGAGUUUUGACUAAUAAUGCGAUUAAAUGCCCAUCAAUAUUCUAUGCCAGCACACACAAAAUCCCAGUCAAUAGUCAUUCAUAACAAAGCACAAAAAUGGGCCGUAAAACACUUAAUUCAGCACAGACAAGUAGUAAUAAAGAUAUUAGCUUAGAAAAGGUGAGACGAGCUCCAAUUUCAGCUUCUUUAAGUUCUUUAAACAAAGAAUUAGGCACAAAACAUUCAAAUCCAGCUUCCAUCACCGCAUAUAAUUUCCUUCUCAAAGUCUCAUACAGUGGUUUGAAAAACAAUGAAUUAGAAAACGUUUCAUUUAAGAAAAAUAAUAAACACGGAAAUCAAUAAACAAACUAGCGAUUGAAAAAAAAAUCCGUGAAUUUACCGGAAGAUAAAUCGAUUGCGGAGCUCCUCGAAAUCACAACGGAAUUGGACAGAGCCGCCAUUCUGAAAAGAUUUCAGAGGCGAAGGAGAUUAAAGUGCGAUGAAAUCGAGAGGAAAGUGUGGAGUGAGAGCGUGUGUGAAAUAGUUGUAGUUCACCUUGUGUUUGCUACUUUUCAUUUAUUUUCUUUUCUGUUGGUGUCGAUGAAAUCGAAGAUGUAAAAACGUUUUGUUAUGUUCAAUUUUUAGUUUUGUUUACCUAGUUGUCGUGUUUUCAUAAAUUUUGAUAAUCGUGUUUUCAUGAUUUCGUUGGUCGGUACUCUUCCGAACUGGAUAACAUUUGCUUUUUUUUGGUUUAAUUUUAAAUUGAAAAUUGUAUCGGUUCGAAAUGGCGUCUCUUCUUUUCUUUUUCUUUUUUAAUUUCUAUCAUAUUUUGAAGUAAUUUCUAUGGCUUUAAAUGUUUGUAUUUGAGCUUGUGUUUUGAUUUAAUUGUGAACAAUUAUAGUUUUGAAAAAUGUAAAAUCAGUCUUACUACCAUUUCAACUAGAUAAAUUAAUCGAGCCGAACCGGACCACUUAUUUAAAAUUGUUAGACAUAGGGUAGUUUUAAACAUAGCUCUCAAUUUUCUCACUAUAACCCAUUAUUUAAAAUAAUAAUAAAAAUAAUUAUAAUUUUACUAUUGUACCCUUAUAGCCCCCAUUUAAAGUUUAUGAUAAAUUAAUAAGUUUUAAAAAUCAAUUUCAAAGAAGAUUACAUAUAUAAUGAAAUUUUUAUAACUCCAACUCAGUUUUUUCUAAAUAACUUUUUAUAGCCCCAACUCAAACAACAUCAAUAGAUAAGAACAUAAAUAUUUACUUAUACUUUCCUUCUUUCAAACCUUUUUUCACGAUUAAAUGAAAAUAAUAAAAUCCAAACAUCACUCAUCUUAGUCCUAACCUUUUUUUCACGAUUAAAUGAAAAUAAUAAAAUCCAAACAUCACUCAUCUUAGUCCUAACCUUUUUUCACGAUUAAAUGAAAAUAAUAAAAUCCAAACAUCACUCAUCUUAGUCCUACUAAUCAUAACUUAUCAUUUGAUUAUUUCUUCUUCUCCACUGUAACCCAUCAUUCCCGCCGCCACCGUUCUUUAUUUGCCUCAGAAUUCAGGUAAUUUUCGGACAUUACUACUUCAAUCUCAAUCCAUCUGCAGUGCCAAUCGAACAGACUUGAUUUCACAACCACAGUUCUUUAUUUGCCUCAGGAUUCAGGUAAUUUUCGAACAUUACUACUUCAAUCUCAAUUUCUGCAGUGCCAAUCGAACAGACUUGAUUUGCACAAAACAAAUCUGUCUAAUUUAGAACAAAAUCUUAAUAAAAUAAUAGAAACACAAUUUAAUGCGUAUGCAGUUCACUUAUAGGAAAUAAAAUACAAAUCGAAAUCUCAAUAAGAUUAUGAUAGGAUUCCGCUUGUAUUGCGAUCUAAAUUUUCUUAUUUGCAAUUGAAAAAAAAAAAAAAUUGAAUUACUGCUAUAUAUUUCAGGAAUCAUCAUAAAUAUAUACUCCAAUAUAUAUAUAGUACAUAUACAUAUCGAAGAUCGUGACCAUUUAUUUUAUUUUUUUGAGAAAAAGAUCGUGACCAUUUUUUUUUUUGGACUUUGUUUUUUUUUUUUUUUUUUGUACUUAGAGAUCGUGACCAUUUAUUGAAAAAUCGAACAGUAUUAUAUAUUAACGAAUUAUGAUUCGCAAUUUAAUUAAUUGGACGCCAAUUAGUGAAAUCCAACUCAUAUUACGGAAUUUUCUCUAAAAACUUCUCUUUCUUCUACUAAUAUUUUUCCGAAAAAAUACCAUCAAAACCUCAAAGAUCAACUUGAUAUACAUGUUUUUUGGCAUUGGAAUUAUAGAUUAAUCAUGAUUGAAGGCAAAACCACUCUCAAUCCAUCCCACCACCAACUCCAUUUCAAAUAUAUGCAGUUUGAUUAAUAUAUACUAUUAUUCAUUGAAUUGAGCAUAUCUUUGUGUCUGUGGACAAAUUUAUGGGUUUUAUUUGUAUUCUCAAAUUUGGACCUAUUAUUACUCGGCCGGCCGGCCAUCAUAUUCUUCGUCACAACUAAGAAAGUCUUGAUGUUUCAUUUUAAGACAAAAAAUUGAAAUGUGACCAAUGUUGCAAUCUUUCCAUAAACAUAGCAACAACAGCGUAAAUUACAAUAUUUUGACCUAGUCCAAUAUCUCACACAUUAUAAUUGGCAUUAACCUCUCUUUGAUGUUUUUUCACAAGUGUUGUUAAUGGCUGCAGGUUCCGCAGAUCGGUCUCUCGAAGAAACCUCCACAUGGGCCGUCGCCGUCGUCUGUGCCGUCUUCGUCAUCAUAUCCGUCGCUAUAGAACAUGGGAUCGACUCCCUUGAAAAGGUUCCGUCUAAUCUCCGUUUCUUUUACUUCUUUUAAGUUAAUCGCUACUGAUCAUGCUUUAUUUUUUAUUUUUUUUCCGUUUGGUAUUAACGGCAGUGGUUUAAGAAACGCGAGAAGAAGGCAAUGAUCGAAGCCCUCGAAAAGAUCAAAGCAGGUUUGAAUGAUGGGACAUAAUGUUCCAUUUUUUUUAAAGAUGAUCAAUAAUGGUUCUCCAUUUUCCACUCUGACAUAUGAGCAAUAUUUAUUUCAACUUCGUGUUUUAUUUAUACUUUUUUCUCGAUUUUCUAGAGUUGAUGUUGCUCGGGUUUAUAUCCUUACUUCUGACCGUGGGCACCUCGUACGUGGCGAAAAUAUGUGUGCCUGAGCACCUUGGAAAUAAAUGGCUCCCUUGUGACAAAAAAAGCUACGAUGACCCCGAUCCCGAUGGCGAUGAAGGGAAGAAUGAGCGUAGGAGGUUACUUUCCUACGCUCAAGAGAUGGUCUGGCGUCGGGCUUUGGCUGCCGGAACCGAUCAGUACGAUUAUUGUACUAGCAAAGUGAGCGGUUUUUUUUUUUAAUGGCUAGUUAUACGAUUUGACACAAACUUUUUUAUGUUUAAUAUAUUUAUUUUAAUGGCUAGUUAUACGAUUUGACAUAAACUUUUUUAUGUUUAAUAUUUAUUUAUUUUGUGGAAAGCAGAAGAAAGUGUCGUUGAUAUCGUAUUCUGGGAUUCACCAAUUGCACAUCUUCAUAUUUGUGCUGGCAGUUAUGCAUGUUCUUUACAGUGUAAUUCUCAUGGUGUUAGGCCAUGCCAAAGUAAGUUCUUAUAAUUUCAUCCAAUUUUAUAUUUAAAUAUUUCAUUUGGUUUUGAAUGAAUAACAUGGAAAACAGCACAUAAACAAGGUUUUGCAAUUUCAAUGAUACUUUUUUUUAUCACAUUAAUUCAGAUGAAGAAGUGGAAGCAGUGGGAAUUGGAGACCUCGUCUAUGGACUACCAAUUUACUAAUGGUGAUAUAAUUUUUCCCUUUUUUUUNUUGUUAAUUUGGUUGGACCUAUGCGAACAUCAUAUUAAUUAAAAAUUGGUUGUUAUUUCUUUUUAAUUGAAUUUCAGAUCCAGCUAGAUUCAGGUUUGCUCAUCAAACCUCAUUCGUCAGGCGUCAUUCAGGAAUCUACAACACUCCCAUUCUCAAAUGGAUUGUAAGAUUAUUAUAGUUAUUGCAAUAAAUUUCUACAACAAUUAUUUUAAUUUUUGUUUUAAUUACUAUAGGUGUGUAUUUUAAUUGUAAGUAAGUGCGUCCAUUUAUUUUAAUAUACUAUACAUAUUAUGUAACAGGUAGCAUUUUUCAGGCAAUUUUUUGGAUCGAUAUCUAAGGUGGACUAUAUGACCAUCCGCAAUGGAUUUAUCACGGUAAGUUUUUACUAUAAACAUGUGUAAUUUUUUCUCAUUUUUUAUCUACGUAUUUUAUCCUCAUUUUUGCUGAUUUUUUAUCUACGUAUUUUGUUAUAAACAUGCAGGCCCAUUUUGCGCCGAAUACAAAAUUUGACUUCCACAAAUAUAUAAAAAGAUCGAUGCAAGACGACUAUAAAUCGGUUUUGGGUAUAAGGUUUGUAAAGUUAUACCUAUAUAUUUAAAGUAUGAAUGUCUUUUAUAAAUAUAAACAUUAAAAUAUUAUUAGAUCAAAUGUAUAAUGAUGAUGUCAUAUUAUAAAUUAUGGAACUAAUUACUCUUUUUUUACAUGUGCUGUGCAGCAUUCCCUUGUGGUUCUUUGCAAUUAUGUUUUUAUUCUUAAACGUCUAUAGUAAGUCUUGUCAAUAUAUAUACAAAUUCGAGAAUUUCAUCAAUUAGUUUCUUACUUUCAAUAAUAUCUUGUGCAGGAUGGCAUACAUUGGCCUGGAUUUCCGUGAUUCCACUUAUAGUGAGUCGAUAUUUCUCUUUAUAUAUUUGUUUAUUUUGUGAUAGUAAUUAAGUCAAUUUAAUUUAGAGGGUGUUUGGUUUUUUCAAAUAAUUUAUAAUUAAGUUGUUUAAGAAUUUAUAAAUUCUUUGUAAGUAUUUGUUAAAUAAACUCGUGAAUAAUUUUUAAGUUAUAAAAAUAAGUUCCAACAUCUUAUAAGUUCCUAAAAAAAAGAAAUAACCAUCUAUUCUAAUUUAGUUUUAUGUAAUCUUAUAAUGUAUUUCUAUUAUUUCAACUGAUGUCUCAUCAAUUUUUUUUUUCUCUACCAGGGAUUUUCUCUUUCCAACUCAAAAUUCUUUCUUAGUUUACAAAUUCAAUUAUCCAAUCACUUUGACAACUUAUAAGUUCUUAAAAAAUUUAUAUUUUAUAAAAUUUUGAAAAAUAAAAUCUUUGAGCCAUAAAAUUUUGAAAAAUUAUUGUUGAAACUUCUAAGUUUUUUUAAAAUAAGCUUAGCCAAACACCUUUUUAAAGUACAUUUCAAAGAUAAAUCAUUGCUUCUCCUUCAUUAAAUUUUAAUUAAUUACAAACUAACAUGUUUUCUCUACUAGCUAGCUACUAAUAUAUUUCAUAUUAGUUCCACAAUCCACAUUAACUAUUAAUAUUAUAUUGAUAUUAUCCUAGUCACUUUUAAUAUUUUAUUAUAGUGACAUUGUAUAUAUGUUGACACGAAAAAAAAUUGUGUUUUCAGAUAAUUUUAUUAGUUGGCACGAAACUUGAACUGGUGAUCAUGGAGAUGGCUCAACAAAUCCAAGAUCGAACAACUGUUGUGAGGGGAGCUCCACUUGUGGAGCCCAGUAACAAUUUCUUUUGGUUUAAUCGCCCACAAUGGAUACUCUUUCUCAUACAUUUUACAUUAUUUCAGGUAAUUUAGUAAUAUAUCAAUCCAAUACAAAAAAUCAGUUUACUUAUUUAUUUUGGUGCUUGCAGAAUGCAUAUCAAAUGGCCUACUUCUUAUGGAAGUGGGUGAGUAAUUGAUCAUCUCUAGUAGUAUUUCAUACUUUCAUUUUGGUAAAAUAUAAAUAUCAUACAGUGAAUGAUGCAUUUUUGUAACAUUGCAGUACGAAUUUGGAAUUACAACAUGCUUCCACGAGGCCCUUUUUGUAGUUCUUAUCAGAGUUUUCCUAGGAUUAGCCCUUCAGAUCGUGAGCAGCUACAUCACAUUCCCAUUAUACACCUUGGUAACACAGGUAUAUAUAUAUAUAUAGUAAAAUCACACAGGAUAUGAGAUAAUUGAUGAGAAUAUACAUUAGUUGAUAGUAAUUAAUUAAGAUGAUGAUGCGGUUGAUGAUCAGAUGGGAUCAAACAUGAAGAAGUCGAUAUUCGAGGAGCAAACAUCAAAGGCUUUGAAGAAAUGGCACCAAGCCGCGAAGCAGAGGAACAAACAGCGCAAAGGGAUCGCAGACAAUUCUAGCAUCAUGAGCGGGGAUUCUACCCCUAACCGCUCCUCGCCCAUUCAUCUGCUACACAACUACACGCUGCGGUCCAACGCACCCGACGGUGAUCGCGAUGCCUUUCCCGUUUCGCCCAGAUCGUACGCCUCCGAUACCGAGCUUUCUGAAAUCGAUGCUUCCAAACACGCUGCCGAGCCCAAGCUUCAAUCUCACAAUAUCGAUUUUUCUUUUAACAGUUCAUCUCUUCAUGGAUAAAUUAAUAUUAUAUAUAUAGAGUAUUAAUUCUUUAACAGUUAAUUAGCACUAUUUGAAGUUGUGAUUAAUGGAGUAUUUAGUUGGGUUUUAUUGUUGUGUUAAUUUGUGUGACUGCGCUAACUGAUUGUGUUUCGACAAACUUUAUCAGAUUAAUGAAUUUAGCAACACAGCCUCUUAAUUAAUACCUCAAAAUUUAUAUUCGAUUGUGAUUCUAUCCAAACUCGUAUUAGAUGUGUAUUUAUAAUACUUAUUGAAAUGUCUCACAUUGGAUUGGAGAUAGUGGCAUGAGCCACUUUAUAUGGUGAGGCAACCCUCUCCCUUACAAGGCCUUUUACGAGAGGAAUGGGUCCAAUAUUCAUUUCAACAUGGUAUCAGAGUCAACUCAAUCCAAUGAUGGGCCCCCCUAAUAUCGUUGUCAACAUAUGGCGUUUGGGAUAGUCCACGCGGCGCGUGCGGGGGUGUAUUGAAGUGUCCCACAUUNNNNNNNNNNNNNNNNNNNNNNNNNNNNNNNNNNNNNNNNNNNNNNNNNNNNNNNNNNNNNNNNNNNNNNNNNNNNNNNNNNNNNNNNNNNNNNNNNNNNNNNNNNNNNNNNNNNNNNNNNNNNNNNNNNNNNNNNNNNNNNNNNNNNNNNNNNNNNNNNNNNNNNNNNNNNNNNNNNNNNNNNNNNNNNNNNNNNNNNNNNNNNNNNNNNNNNNNNNNNNNNNNNNNNNNNNNNNNNNNNNNNNNNNNNNNNNNNNNNNNNNNNNNNNNNNNNNNNNNNNNNNNNNNNNNNNNNNNNNNNNNNNNNNNNNNNNNNNNNNNNNNNNNNNNNNNNNNNNNNNNNNNNNNNNNNNNNNNNNNNNNNNNNNNNNNNNNNNNNNNNNNNNNNNNNNNNNNNNNNNNNNNNNNNNNNNNNNNNNNNNNNNNNNNNNNNNNNNNNNNNNNNNNNNNNNNNNNNNNNNNNNNNNNNNNNNNNNNNNNNNNNNNNNNNNNNNNNNNNNNNNNNNNNNNNNNNNNNNNNNNGAACCGAAUUAACCGAAAUUUUUAUAAUUAAAACCGAACCAAACCGAAAACCGAAUUAAUCCGAAGAAAACCGAAAUUUUCGACAAACGAAAUUUUCGAAAAAACCGAAAAUUCCAAAAAAACUAUAAAAUUAAAAAAAUAUUAGAAGUUAGAUAUUAUAAAACUAUAAUUAAAAUAUUAUAUAUAUAUAUAUAUAUUUAUAUAUAUAUUAUAAAUAUAAUUCGGUUUUUCGGUUUUGUUCGGUUUUAAAAAUCCGAACCGAACCGAAAAUCAAAAUUUUAUGAAAAAAACCGAACCGAACUGAAAACCGAAAAAACCGAACCAUAUUUUAAAAUUCCGAUUUGGAUCGGUUCGGUUAUUCGGUUUCGGAUUUUUUGCUCACCCCUACUUAAAAGGCCUUAUAAGGGAUAGAGUUGCCUCAACAUAUAAAGUGGCUCAUGCCACUAUCUCCAAUCCAAUGUGGGACACUUCAAUAUGUUAGAAAUGGAUAUUGGGCCCAUUCCUCCCGUAAAGGGCCUUAUAAGGUAGAGGGUUGCCUCAACAUAUAAAGUGACUCAUGCCUCUAUCUCCAAUCCAAUGUGGGACACUUCAAUACACCCCCCGCACGCGCAGCGUGAACUAUCCCAAACGCCAUCUGUUGACAACGAUAUUGGGGGGGGGGGCAUCAUUGGAUUGAGUUGGCUCUGAUACCAUGUUAGAAAUGGAUAUUGGGUUCAUUCCUCCCUUAAAAGGCCUUGUAAGGGAGAGGGUUGCCUCACCAUAUAAAGUGGCUCAUGCCACUAUCUCCAAUCCAAUGUGGGACACUUCAAUAAUACUAAUAAUAAUAAUAAUAAGUAGUACUCCUUUAGUUUCAAUUAUAACUGGCCGGUAUAUAUCAUUUUCCUUCCCUAUAAACGGGGUACAAAUAGCGUCCUCGACAUGCAAAACUUCUUCACAUUUCACAUUUCAAUUUUUAAAAUUUCUCACAGACAACUCAAAGUUGCGACGCACAAGUAACCUCUUCCCACUCUCCGCCUCCUUCGCCCAUACAAUGUCUGGAUCUAAUACCGGAGCCAGCGGCUCCAGAGGGAGACGCAUUGAUAAUGGAAACAACUGGAAUCCGCGGAAUGUGCAAGGGAGGCAGGCAUAUUUCUUGAUAAAUAGGGUUUUCUGUUUUAUUCUUUUUGAAUUAUCUGCAGAUUUCGACUACUAUUGCAUUAAUCUUUGAAAUUUUCUCUUGAUAAUGAUAUUCAGAUUUCCACUGUUUUAGGUUUAAGGUUUUGUUGUUGAUAAUACGGGUGCAUGAUAUGAUCUGAAGAUAUUUUUGGUGAUUAGUAGUAUUACUAUUUAUUUUGAUCUCACUGCGUGAUUAAUAAAUUUUUUCCUGUGGAAAAUUUCUCUGAUACGCGAUAUCGAGAUUGAAAGACCUACCUAUCCAAAUACGCAAUAUCGCAGGAUCCUCAACCCCGGAUCGAGAUCAUCCCAGCUCGGGUGCGGCGGCGGAAGGGCUAAAUCUUCUCAAAUGUGUGUUGGAAGGUAACUAGAUAAGUUUUUUUUGGUAUGUACUCCCUCCGUCCCAGGCUAAUAGGCUCAUUUCUUUUCGGCACAGAGAUUAAGAAACUCACUUUUUGUUAGUUAAAUGGUGUGUGGCCCACCAAAAUUUUCCCUUUUGAGAGUACUCUCUUAUGAAAAGACUAAAUAGUACUCCUUAUUGUUACUUAAUAAAGCCCUAAAUAUUUUCAUAUUAAAACUGAGCCUAUUGGAGUGGGACAACCUAAAAUGGAAAACGAGCCUAUUGGAUUGGGACGGAGGGAGUAUGUGAUUUCUUGAUAAUUCACCUUUUUGUAUAUGUGACUUUAGUGUUGUUGACGGAAUGAGAUUCAGUGUACCACAUUUUAUAUCCCACUUUGUGUUCUAUUUUUAAUUUUGUUUAUUUUCUUAUAUGUUUUUUAUUCAAUUUCAACUUUGUAUGCUUUAGUUUAAUUUUGUGAUUAUUAACUAGGGUUUAUUCUAUCAAUUUAGGGUAUAUAAUUAUUUUUUAUCAUUUAAUUUCAUUUUUAUUAGCUAAUAAUAUGUUGAUAAAUUUAAAAUCAUGGUAUAUACUUUUUAAAAAUUUUAAUUUUUUGAAAUAAAAAUUAAAUAUAAUUCAUAGUAAUAAAUUUUAUUUUUAUAAAAAAUAUUUUUAAAAUAAUAGAUAUAAGAAUGGGGCACGAUGACACACAUAAAAUUGUGGGACACUGGAUCUCAUCCCUUUGUCCCAAAAUAUAGUGUGUACCACGUGUACCAUUCUUCAUUUCUUCUUUUUAUAAAUUGUUUUCUAUAAAAAUUAAAACUAUUAUUAUAUUAUAAACUCUAAUUAGUAUUUAUCAUUGAAAAAUUAAAAUUUAAAAAAUUAUAUACCCUAACUUUGAAUUAAUGGACCCAAAUAAUCUAUUAUUAAUUCAAAUAAAUAUAAAAAAUAAUUAUAAACCCUAAAUGGAUGAGUGAAUCCUUGUUAAUUAUCUUUAUGUUAUAUAUAUAAAAGCAUAAUAAAUUAAAAUUGAAUAAAAAAUAAUUAAAAAUUAUAAUAUAAUAAGAGUGGUACACAGUGAUACACACUAUAUGUUGGGACACAAGACCCCAUUCGAGAGAAGAGGCACGCUCCGAUGCAAUUGCAUUUAUUUGGUUUUGCAGUGUGAUUAAUAAAUCAAUUUUUUUUUGAAGAAAAAUAUGAUGUUAUUAAGAACAUACUCAUGGUAAAUGAAGAAUACCCUUCACAUGAUUAAUAAAUCAUAAUUGGAUAGAAAUAAAUCUGAAUUAGAAUUGAAAGACAUAAUUAGAAUUUUAAUUGAAAAUUAAUAAUCCUUAAAUUAGGGAUUACUGAAUCCUAAAUAUAAUUCUGAUUAAUUCUUAAUAUACUCUUAUUAAUUAAUUGGCUAUACAGUUAGGUAAAAGAAAAAGGGAUUGUACUGUGCAUAGUAUACAAUUCAAUUAGCUAUUUAAUUAGGUAAUUUAGGUUGCUAUACAGAUGGACUGAACGUGCGUACGGUAACAUUUCCUGAUUUGAUUAUGGUACAAACUUAGAUAAAGAUAUACCAAACAAAAGUUGUAAUUGAAUGAAACUAGCAUUUCCACUCGUGCAACGCACGGAAAAUAUUUUUAUAUUUUAUUAUAUAUAAAAUUGAUUAUCAUUUGAUUAUUAUAUAAAAGAUCUAAAUAUAAUUAAAAAUACUAUAAUUUAAGAUAAAAAUAUAUAUUUUAAUGUAAAAAUAAUAAAGAAUAAUUCAUAUUAAUAAAAAAAUGAUAUUGUGAAAAAAGAAAACAAUACUAUAAGUUAAAAGAUAAUUGAAAAAAAUAGAUUUAUUGAAAAAAAGAGGAGAGAGGAGAGAGAAUUUUCUUAAGUUUUAAUUUUUAAAUAAAUAUAAUUUUUAUAUUUUAAAUCCAAUAUUUACAUGACAUAUAUCAAAUUAAAGCUCUUGUCAUGAUAUUUAAUUUGAUAUGCAUAUCGAAUAUUUUAUAAUUAGUCGAAUUUCACAAUUAAAAAAAAAUAGAAAAAUAAGAAGUUAAAGAAAAGGAAAAAAAAAGAUUAUAAAUAAACCUUCAAUUUUAUUCUAACUACAAAAUUGUCACUCAAUUUUAAAACUAAUUUGAAAUCAAUUCGAAAUUGAAAAUUCCCUUUUUAAUAUAGUAUAGAUAUUUAUUUGAAUUGGUAAUUAUUUUAUUUUUUUAAGCUAAAAAGGGGGAAUAUCAUUACGAAAUAUCAUCCAAUAUUUAUUUGAAUUGGUAAUAGUGUGGAAUAAAAAUAUAAAACAGUCACCAACAUUAUGUGUUGUGAAGUAAUCAUAACAGAUCCAUUUUCCUACUCACCUAACUCACAAAUAUUGAUAUACCACCAAUGCUCCUUUUUUUCAUUCAGUAAGGCUCUGGUUCAAAAUAAAGGUAGUUUAAGCCCUAUUAAACACAUUCAAUUUUCCCUAAACCAAUUAAACAACAUUUUAAAUAUGACGAUUAUGGAUGGUGCAUGACAUGAGUCAUGAGUGAUUGCGUUUAGUUGGAUCUAUUUAAAAAACAAUAUCGCAAUUAUAUUAUGGGUAAUUUUAAACACAACCCCCAAUUUUUUCACUAUAGCCCCUUACUUAAAAAAAAUAAUAAAAAUAAUUAUAAUUACACUAUUUUAUUCCUAUAGCCCCCAUUUAAAAUUUAUAAUAAAUUAUAAGUUUAUAAAAAUUUAAAUUUGAAGAUAAAUCAUAUAACUCCCAUCCUAAUCUAAUAUUAAAAAUAAUGAUAAACAAACGUGAUUCUUGCAUAAGAAAUUUAGUUGAAUUCUCGGUUCAUUCCCUGGCGAAACCUUCCAGUAGUUGUUGUGUGUUCUUGCAACCAUGUCUUCCACGCUUCAACUAAAGCAGUUUUCUUGGGGUCCUCUUCGACUGCUAAUCUAUACAGCGGCAAUCCACUGAGUUUGAUAUGGAAAAUGAUAUAUAUAAAAAUUACCCAUAGUGAAACAAAACCUAGACAGAUCAAUAAAAUGGUGCAUAUGAGCCUAUUUAAAAUCACAAUCUAGUUCAAAUAUUUUAAGCCCACAGUUUGCAAGUGCUCAUUGAUAUAUCUCAAACAAUAGAGUUGCUAUGAACUACAUAUCAGAAAAUUUGUCAGUAAGCAAUCUUUGUGUGGAACGAUAUAAUUAAGCAAUAGUUAUUCUUACCAUCAACAAAUUUACUAAUAGGUUCCCAGUAAAAAAUAAAACAUAUUUCAGUCUUUUAACUGUAUGUAUGUUCAUAGUUAUGAAUUUGGGGGUUAUGUAAGAUUGACGCUUCUUUGCAAGAAUCAUAUUCUUUUUUGAAUUGGGGCUAUACUGGAGUUAUUAGAGUUAUUUAUCAUAUUUAAUAUUAGAUCAAGAUGGAAAUUAUAUAAUUUAUUUGGGAAAAAGAAUAUACGUAUUAUUUUUUUAAAUUAUUUUUUAUAAAAUUAGUAAUUUAUAACAAAUUUUAAAUGGGGGCUAUAGGGAUAAAAUAGUAUAAUUAUAAUAAUUACUAGGAAUCUCGCACCCGGUGGUGUGGGUGAAGUGGAGUGACCUGUGCACUUCAAAAUCAGAGGGGGGGCUUGAUUUCAAAAACUUAGAAUGGUUUAAUCAUGCUCUUGUGGUGAAAUGGUUUUGGAGAUUUCUUAAGGGGGGAGGAAGGUUGUGGGCUAGAGUGGUUAAAUCGCUUUACGGGGACCUUGAGUGGGGUCAGAAUUCGGUGAAAUGUUCCGGUAGAGGCAGGGUUAGGGACGGAUGGUGGUCUAGAGUCAUCUCUGUGGCAGGAGGUUCGGGGGAGUCUUGGUUCCUUGAUAAUAUUAGCAUUAAAGUCGGGGAUGGGAAGUCCACAAAAUUCUGGGAUCACAAGUGGGUGGGGUUGUUGCCUCUCAAGCUGGUGUUUCCUAGGUUGUACCUCCUUAGUGCUAAUAAAGAAGCACUCAUUAGUGAGUCGGGUUUUUGGGAGAACGGGGGCUGGAAGUGGGAUCUGAGUUGGAGACGAGAGCUCUUCGAAAGGGAUAAGAGGGGAGUUUAUGACCUGUUGUCUUUCAUUUCUGGUACUAAUCUUGUUGCAGGUGUGCCUGAUGAAUGGUCCUGGUCCGCCGCUAAAGAUGGUUUAUAUUCCACUAAGUCGGCAUACGAAGCCAUCAAAGAGACAAGACAAGAAAGGCGAACAUCGGAAGCGAUCAAUGAGAUCCUCUCCAAGGUGUGGAAAAGCCCAGUCCCGCUUAAAGCAAGAGUCAUGGCCUGGAGGACGCUAAGAGAUAGACUACCUACGUGCGCCAAUCUUAGAAGAAGAAACAUUGUACUGAAUGAAGUUGAUACCGGCUGUAAUGCGUGCUUUCAUAGCGAGGAGACGAUUAACCAUCUGCUUUUUCACUGUCCAAAGCUUGAAAAAGUUUGGGAUGAUAUCUUUAGAUGGCUUGGCAUCUGUUUCGUGAGACCACAAAGCGUGGUUUCACACUUCCUUCUCUUUACCAACUUUGGAAACCGGAAAGAAAGUCGGAUAUUCCUUUUGGCGCUGUGGUGUUGUGUUGCUUGGGUCGUUUGGAGAUGUAGAAAUGCGAGCAGAUUCGAAGAAAAAGGAUGGGAAAUUUCAAAGUGGUCUCGGAGAUUAAGGUGAGAAUGUGGGGUUGGGGUAAGAUCUUCGGGUUUCUUAAUUCUGAUUUGAGCUUAGAUGCCUGGAUUGCGGGUGUUCCAACUCCUAUGACGUUGUAAUUUUCUUUUGGUACUGCUGGUACCUUCGUUCUUCUUUUUAAUAAAUUCAUUUUCUUAUCAAAAAAUAAUAAUAAUAAUAAUUAUUAUUUUUAAGUAAAGGGCUAUAGUGAAAAAAAAUUGAGGACUGUGUUUAAAAUUAUCCUUAUAUUAUCUAAUACUCCUCCGCCCGUUUCAUUAUUAAUGGCCUGUAUUCAUCUUUGGCCCAUCCCAUAUUACAUGGAGAGCAAUCUUUUAAUUUUUAGUUCAAGUUUUGUUUUUUCUCUUCAGAAAUUUAUAAAAAAAAUUCAAUAUAAACAUCUUUGUAGGCACCCGAGUGUUUGAAGAAGUAUAUUUUUAUUAAUUUUAUAUCUUUGUUUAUUUUGAAAUCUUAUGAAAUUCAAUAUUAAAUAAGAUACAUUAUUAAUAAAGUUAUUGUCAUAUCUUAGAAAUAAGGCAUAGGGUCUCUGCAUCAACAUUACAGAGUCUAAAACUCAAAUUAAAAUCCAAAGCCAAUUCAAGCCAACGUUGGAACCAGAAACAAGGCGAAUGUCCUCCGCAUCAACGUCAUAAAGCUUAAAUGUCAAGUUCAAUUUGAAGAAAAUAAUUAGAUUAUCAAAUAGAAAUAACAACUCGUACAAAUAUUGAUGUCCGUAAGAAAUUUUGAAAUUAUUAAAUGAAAUACAUAAAUUUACAAUCUUAUUUAGAAUUAAAAUUUUCCUUAAAAUUUUCAGUUCAAAUUGAAUAUUUUAUUUUCUAUAUUCUAAUGGUGUUUGGCUAAGCUUAUUUUAAAGAGCUUAUAAGCUAUUGGAGCUUAUAAGAUAUUUCAAGAGCUUACAAGAUAUAGUUUCUUAAAAUCUUAUAAAUUGUCAAAGUAUUUGGAUAAUUGAACUUAUAAGCUAGAAAGAGAAUUUUUAGUUAGAGAGAGAAAAUCGAAAAAAGAUGAAAUUAAAAUGAUAUAUAAUGAAAAUAAAAAAUUAUAGUUGAGUUAUUUUUAUAAAAUGAGUGUUGCUUAUAAGAAAAUGAGCAAAUAAGUUGUGGCAGAUGAACUUAUUUUUUGGGAGCUUAUAAGCUCUUAGAACUUAAUUUUACAUGAUAUAAGCAUUUUAAUAGCUUAUUUUGUCAAACACUUUGAAAAAAUUUAUAGGCUCCUAAACAACUUAUAAGCUCAACCAAACACCCUUAAAUCUCAAUUCUCAACAUGAUUUAACAUUCCAAGUAAAAUUGCUUCUCAAUUUUUUUCCUCAACAGACUUGUAAAUACUUCUUCGAAAUCUAUUUCCAAAACCAAUUUUCUCAAUUGUGGAACUCUCAACACUCAUAUAGAAAUGAUGGUCCCUUUGCUUUUUUAUCUUUCUCCAAAUAUGAGUUCCCACGUUUAUAUCUAUAACGCGUGUUUAUAUAUUUAUUGGCAUUAAAAUUCAAUAAAAAUAUGAAUUUUAGAGAAACUGAAAAUAGGCUCCACUUAAUAAUUCAAAAUUCAGGUGAAUUCCGACAAAGCAUAGCCGAUUGAAUAAAAUCUGCAAUGUGCAUCAAUAUUUUGUUUCAUGGGGUCAGAAAAAAAGAAAUGUAGAAACAGAAAAAAGUUUAAAAUACUAGAUAAAAAUUGAUUAGAGAAAAAAGUUAGUACUAUAUGAAAGGGGGAUUGAGGUGACUAAUGAGCAGCAGCAUAAACGAAAAGCGGUUGUGGGACUCUCUCACAUAAUCAUUCCAUCCACAUAUUUGAAAAAAGUAGUAAAAGAAAGAACAAAAUUAGCAAAUAUAAUCACAAAAAUUCAAAAAGCAGAAAGAGUGCUGAUAUAUGUAAUGGGAGGAAGGUAAAGGAAACAGAGGUGUCGCUUUUGCAAAUUUCUCAAGUUUUAUCAGGUUGGUCGUGUCGUCUUCGCUUUAACGAUGCUUAUACUUGUAAGAUUGUAUAUGUAUAUUAUUCCCAACAUCAUAAAGGCAAAAGAAAAGAAAAUGCUCAGCUUGUAGUAGAAUAUUAUACAUGAUUUUCCCAUGUUCACACCAUGAAUGUUUUUGAGUUUAAUAUGGUGUGAAGGUUAAAGAUUUGAGCUUUUUAUGCAGAUUGGAUCUGAUGGGCUUGCCCCUGAUCUUCUGUAGAGUGAAUCUUGAGAUGGGUUUUUGGGGGUUUACUUUGUUUGGUUGAUUUUGGUGCUUGAAUUCUUGGAUACCAAGGUUCUCUCUCUCUCUCCCACACACACACACACAACCAGAUGGGGGCUUCUUGAUUCUUGAAAUUCUUCUGCUUUCUUGAAUUUAUGCGGCAUUAUUUGUAUCCACAUUCUUGAUUGUGAUUUUGAGAUUUGGUGAGGGUUUUGGUGGUUGUGAAUCUGCUGGUUUGAUUUCUUGAAUCUUUCUUACCUCAAUUUGAUUUCUUGAACUUUAAGAAAUUAUGAUUGUUAACCUAUUUUUGGGGGGUUUGGUGCUGUGGCUGAAUAACAGUUGAAUUGAAGUUUGAAAUUGGUCAGAAUUUAAGUUUAAUUUCUAGAACAUCAUCAAAUCUUAUUGUUUGAGCUUCGUUGGAGGCAAGAUUUGUUUUAGGAACAUUGUGACUUAGAUUUUUGCAAUUUCAUGUAGAGAUAUGCUAGUUGUAUAUACUGAUGAUGAGUUCUUGAUGUAGCUUUUCUCUGUUGUGGUAGAUGCUUCAGCCGUGUUGUUUUGUUCGUGUAGGGUUGACGCACAACCUUGAAAGCGUGCGGUACAUUGGUUGCUAGCUAGAGGGCUCUCGUUGUUGUUCAUCUUUGUGAAAAUAAAGAAUAUGAAAUGGCCUCUCCGAGAUUAAUGGGAGAAGAAAUUAUUAACCAAGAGAUUGAGCCUAGGAGUGUUUCAAAACGCCUUGUACGAAGUAUGAGCCAGAAGUUGAAAAGGAAGAGCCAAAAGAAUGAAAGUUCUGAAGAUGAUGAGACGAGUGGCGUCUCUUUGAGAUGUCUUACCCUCUACGGCAGGGGAGGUGGGUGCAGAGUGAGUGCUGAUAUGGACGAGGAGUCCGGGGAUCCGGGCAGUAGGAGGAGAUCGAGUGCGAGUGAGGAUGGGAAAGGCACGACGUGGGGGAAGGAUGAUGCCUCAGUUGAUUGCUUCUCCAUUGGAAUGGACAGAUUCUUCAGAAGGAACAACAACAGAAGGCUGUUGAAAUGUAGCGUAGUCGAGCAAAGCAAUAGCAUGAACACACGCCUUCCUGAUGACGUUCUCGAAAUGUGCUUGGUGAGGCUCCCGUUGGCUAGUCUUGUGAAUGCUCGUCUCGUGUGCAAGAAAUGGAGGAACUUGACUGCAACGCCCCGGUUCAUGCAGAUCAGGCGGGAGGGCUCGUUUCUGAGCUCGUGGUUGUUUGUCUUUGGCCUCGUGAAGAAUGGCUAUUGCUCCGGUGAGAUACACGCGUUGGAUGUCUCUCAGAAUCAAUGGCAUAAGAUAGAUUCCCAGAUUCUCAAGGGGAGGUUCUUCUUCUCGGUGGCUAGCAUCCACGAUGAUGUCUACGUAGUCGGGGGUUGCUCUAGCUUGACUAACUUGGGGAGGGUGGACCGGAGCUCGUUCAAGACGCAUAAGGGAGUCUUGGUGUUCAGCCCGUUGACAAAGUCGUGGCGUAAAGCCACAGCCAUGAAGCAUGCGAGAUCGUCUCCCGUUUUAGGAAUCUCGGAGGUGAGCCAAGAUUACUUCCUCUCUAGAAAUCAACAGAGUCGGGCAGAGAAGCGUCUUCACCGCUCGAGAGCAGGUGGUGCGACGGAUGUCUAUGAGGAUCCUCAUAGACUCUCGGUCAGACGGCAAUCUAGGCACUCUCUCGAUGAGAACGAGGUCUCGUUGUCCGAUACCAUCAAGCUGACCAGGCAAAAACACGAGGGCUCGGGCUCGUCCAGCAGAGGCGGUGGUAGGAAGUUUGUGAUGAUUGCGGUCGGAGGCCUCGGAUCUUGGGACGAAGCCCUUGACUCCGGCGAGAUCUACGACCCCGUAUCGAACAAAUGGACGGAUAUCCAGCGGAUGCCUCUGGAUUUCGGCGUGGCCUGCUCCGGCGUGGUGUGCGAUGCUGUGUUCUACGUCUACUCCGAGAGCGACAAGCUCGUUGGAUACGACGUGGACAGGGGGUACUGGAUCCGGAUCCAGACGGUCUCGAGCCUGCCCCGCGUGCAUGAGUACCUCCCGAAGCUCGUCUCCUGCAAGGGCCGCCUGCUCAUGCUCUCCGUGUCGUGGUGUGAGGGAGAUGGCCAGAUCGGCCGGAGGAAUAAAGCGGUGAGGAAGCUUUGGGAGCUCGACCUCGCGCAUCUCAAGUGGGAGCAAGUGUCGACGCACCCCGAUGCGCCCAUGGACUGGAACGCUGCGUUCGUGGCUGACGAAGAAGACGACGUCGUUUUUGGUGUCGAGAUGUUCAAGAUUUUCGGACAGGUAAUAGACUUCGUGACUGUUUUUGAUGCUGCAUCAACAUCGGGUUGGAAUCACAUUUCUAGAAAUCAUAAUGUUGCACACGAUUUGGAUGCAUCUUCUUGCAUGACCAAGUCUAUGACACUGCUGCGCUUGUAAAUGAAUGAUUUAGACAGACUUCCAUUGUUUGAUCUCAAUCUGAUAUCUCUCUUUUUUCGCUUUGGUUGAUCAAUCAAAGCAUGUUGUUGACAUUAAUUUUUCUUCAAUAUGUUUUUGUAUGAUAUGCUCCAUUGACCUCUGCAAAUACAUACAACUCUAUUUCAUCACUGCAGUUAUGUAUAUGAGUUCGUAUUGCACCAAUACAUUACAAACAAACCAAUCAAUAUCUUCACAUCUGUUUGAACAAAAAAAUGUGUGUGUGUGUGUGAGUAAAUACAAGGGGGUUUAGUAGUAUCCUAUCCAAUGUUGGGAAAGAUGCUAGAGAAGUUAGGGAUCUUGUCAACAUGUUUCAAGGCGCGCUCAGCAAUCUGCCUUGUUCUGUAUUCUCCAUGCUGGAAGGCAUCAACCAAAGCUGUGCUUAUAUUAGGAUCACCUGCAACUUCAUAGGCUAUCUCCUCACAUCUCAGCAACCUCUCCACUGUCCAAACGCCCGGCUCCUCAGCGUCUCUGUUCGUUUCCCGAGCAGCAGGUCGAGUAUGGGCUUCACCCCUUCCGCGUCCAGCAACACCUGAACCCCCUGCUCUAUGUCAACACCGUCGUCCAGCAAGGUAGCCAGCGCCGCAAGCGACGCCUCCACCACCUUGUCGUUGGUGUGGUCCAAGAGAGCAACCAGCUUGUCCACAGCUUGCCCUUCCAAGAGGCAGAACGUCUCUUUUAACGAGCAUAUCCCGCGAUGAAUAGGGCACAGCCCGGUUAUAACCGGCUGCUUGCUCAGGCAAGGGAAGAACGAGGCGCACAGCCCCGGUGCAGGGAACUCGAGCAGCUGUGUCAAGUUCUUGGAUUCUUGGGAUAGAUUCUCCAAGGCCAUGGCUGACACCAUCUGCAGGUUAUCGAGCCCGUUGGACUGCAGGAGGUUUAUGAAGAGCGACGCUAGGUUGGUCUCAUGACAGAGUGCACGAGCAGCAGCGCCCGACUCCUCAGACAAGGCGAAUGUGAUUCUUGCUACGACCUUCACGAGCCCUUCCAAAUAUGGGGUCAUGAAACGGUUCCUCCUCGUCUCACCUUGCCUGAUCCUAACUAUCCUCAAAAUGAAGAGCCGGAACACCCCUUCGUCUAGCAUCUGUCUAGUGAGGCCGGAGUCCCUCUCAGGUAGAUCAGCUAGGAAGCCAACAGCGGCUGCUUGCUCCUCAGUUAUCACCGAAUUCUCCAAUAUCUCUCGGAUCAGGCUCCCGAGCUGGCCUGCUGGCCCGCGCAAGCAGCCAGCCAGCUCCGGGCCCAUGUGUGGGGAGAGAUUCUGAAGAAGCCUUAUCGAAGCCGCCCUCAGAUCUGUCUGAGGAGCUUCGAUGAACUGAACCAAACUGAUAGUCGCACCGGAGCUCUUGAUGGCGGACACAACACUGGACACGGUUGCUGCAGAACUCGUGAGCCCGACCAGAACUUGGAGAAGCUUGGACUCGAUUGCAGGGCCGGUGUUGCUGAUAAGAUGCAGAAGGUUGUGGAUGAUCUCCUCCGACACCAGAGUCAGGUAGUUGGGCCCGAUGGGGACUGAAUCGAAGUCGUGGCCUGAGUUAACGACAUUGGCAAGGAUCGUUGCUGAAACUUCCUUGAGUCGCAUUGGCAGCUGGUUUGCCCCAACAGUGAACAGAUCCUUCACGAGAGGGGGCAGGAUGCCCGCCUCUAUCAAGAUCUUGGCACUCGUCUCAUCGGAUGAUAUCUGGUUUAUAGACUUGAGAGCGGCCUCUCUUGCUGGCAUGUCGUUGUGCAUCAUGAGACUGAUAAGCGAGAAAGCAGCUGUCCUCGCCACGAACACCUUCACCUCGUUGUCUAGAACGAGCUCACCGAGGAUGGCUGCCAUGGCCAGUUUAGUCUCAGGAGUGCCUGCAAAGAAAUGAAGAAUCCUCAAACACUAUGCUAUGCUAUCUUCAUAUUUUUCAAGAAUCCAACCAAAAUUUCCAUUACCUUCAAGCAGUAGUGUGAGAAGAGGCUGCAAUCUUCCACAUUCCGCCAUCUGUCUAACGUUGUUCUCGCAUCGUGCCAGAUUCUCCAGCGUUCUAUCAGUCAUCUCGACAGUCAGGAGGCUCUCCGAGUUGCUGUUGGCCAUCCCAACUAAGAUCAGAACCGCCCCAUUAACAGAACCGAUCUUUUCACAGAGCCUCUCCGAGUUGGAGAGCUCGUGGAGAAGAGAGACAGCUUCUUCCCUCUCUUUAGAUUGCUCGUGAGACAAGAACUUGACUAUCGUGCGCACAGUGUCCCCUUCCGCCAUGAUUUCCUGCAAGAAUAGGAAACUGGAGUCGAGUCAGUGACAGCCGGAGGCGAACUGAGCUAGGGUUCAGCCACCUGUAACAACCUUGUUAUCAGAAUCUUCCUCCACCACAAUCCUGAGAGUUUCAAGAGCCGUGCAACGCACUUGUCGACUGGAGCUCUUCAGCACAUCAACAACCAUGGGUAUCAAGUCGGCAUCAUGGACCACGCGCUUGUUUGAAGGGCUGUGCAGGCAGAGGCGCUGCACGAAUCUCAGGGCCUGCAGAAUGUCACUCUCGGAGCUGCUCAGGGAUAGGGACCGUCGUGCCAUGUCGAGCUUGGAGGCUUCGUUCCUCGCGUUCCACUCUUUGAUUGUGUGUCUUAGAGCAAUACUAGGGCUUAGUUCAGUGCUUCUCAGCUCUCUCAAUGUCAGAGGGCAGACUGGCCUUCUUCCACUCUCCCUGCACUCUCUCAGCCAUUUCUCUAUGGCUUCUCUCUCGUAUGUCUGCCCGUCUUCCAAGCUCACAGGAUCGCGCAUCACUUGCUUCGUCAGAGGGCAUAGGAACGCGUCGUAGAUUGGCUCCACACGCGACUGAGCACCAAGGUCGGAGCUCCCAUCCCAGCUUCCGGCCAUCAGAUUGAAGCAAAAGACUAUGCAAAAUAGCAACAUUCAUUAGCUUCUUUGCAUCUGCAUAGUGAAGAAUCCUUUAGCUAUGUGAGAGGAAGACAAACUUGGAAGACAAUGAAGGAUUCCUAGAAAAGUUAAGGACUAGUAAUCGUUUUAGAAAUUGAAUGUAUUAACUAUUACUCAAUUAGGGUUCAUGAAAUGCCCCUUUUGCAGCUUUGUCAAGUUUACCCAGAUUAUGCUAUCAAAUUCCCCUUUCAGUUGAAGUUAGCUACAUUUCAUAUAUUGGUGCAGAACCUAUCAAAAAUACAAAAUGCUGGUUUUCAUUUGUAGCCCAAUAUUUUUCAAGAACUCAUCUUUGAUCACCAAUCAAAUUCAAAUUCCAAAUUGAUCCCACCUCCCAAAACACAAAAAACUAUCUCAUCAUAGUAAUGAAUCCAUCAAAUUUCCCAAGCCCACAUAGAAAAUAACAAAAAUUAAGUUCAAAUUCGCAUCAGUAAUCGAAAUUAAAAAGAUGAAGAAACAAGAAAGGAAACCAUCAAAGUGUUAUUACCUUGAAAGGACUCUUGUACACAACUGCAGAAAGAAAUUAAAUUUCCAAAGUAAAAAACAAAUCAAAAGGGCCGAGGGCCAAAGAUGCGCCAAACAAGCGAAGAGAAAGGGCAAAAGAGAUGGCAGCAGUUGGUGAAGGGACAAGAAAGAAGAAGACAGCAAAAUGUCGCACGAAUACUAAAAUAUUAAUUUAAUUUUUCUUCAGCAAAAGAAGUUUGAAUGUUGAAGAGUUGACUGAAGAAGCCGUCGUUGCUGAACAGCAACGUAAAAUGGGGUUGUAAUUUGCUAAAGCAAUGAGGAUGCACAUUUCUCAUUCUUUUUCAAUUUUCAUGGCUGCAGUUCCAGUUGAAAACAAAGCUGUUAAUAUAGUUUGUAAUUUACCACCUGCAAACGGCAUUUCUUUUUCUUUCAUAUAGUUUGCAAUCUUCUUUUAUAAAGUAACAAUUAAGUAAUUAAAUUUAAAGAUUGUGUUAAGAUAAAAUCGAAUUCAAAAAAAUUGAUCUUAAACAUUAACCACUUUAUCUUUAGUUCAACACACGCUCACUUCUUUCGUAGUAAUUUUCACUUUGAGUAUGAUUGUUAUCACACACUUUGGUUAAUUAGUAUAUAAAAUUUGAAUCCUUUUCGACUUAAAUUAAAAUUUUGGGUAUAUUUAAUUUUAUGUAGAUGUCAAAAUUUGAUUGUGUGAAUAUUUUUUAUAUGAUCUAGCCAUGGGCCCAUGACGAAGAAAAAAAGAAGAUAAUGUCGAUGUCACAGAGGAUAAAAUGUUAUCGAAAUUUUAAUUUAAGCUGAAUUUUUAAAAGUUUAAAUUUAUAUAUUAAUUUAUUUAAUAAUAAUAAUAAUAAUAAUAAUAAUAAUAAUAAUAAUAAAAUAUAAUAAUAAUAUAUAAUAUAAAAAAUUAAUCCAAAAGUAAUUGUAAAUCUUCUAGAUUAAUUCCUAUGUCUUCUCUAAAAGUUCUUUUUUUUUUGAUAAAUUCUUUAAAAGGUUUUUUUNGAUAAAUUCUACUACUUCUUUCUGUUUUAUUUAUCCUUUUUGUUGAAAAAUUACAAAAUCGUUGUCUGCGUCGAACAAGCGCUAACAGUUUCCAAUCCAAAUUUCUUAUUCUGCAAUAGAUUUGCACAGAGUUUAAUUUCUCAAAAAAAUGCCGAGUUCCGAAAAUAGGACUGAAUCGACUGAUAAGCUCAUGGAAACUGAUCAACACGUAUUGAAUUUUUUAGAUUCCAUGGAUACUUAUCUAGUUCUUAUGGAUUCCUUAUCAUCAACUCUUCGUCAGGUAAAAGAAUCAAUUCGACUCUAUUGAUCCCUUUUUGUAUGUACAUUCUAGCAAAUAGCAAUUAAUAUUCUUUUAUUGCAAAAGAAAAUCGAAUCUUCGGUUCCUAGGGUUACCCACUCGUUUCCUGGAUCCUAUUUUUUGAACACAACUUCUCAUGUUUUGCUCAAAAAUUAGGAUUUCGGAAGCUGCAAUUUCAACUUUGCUUAUCAUUUUCUGGAUAGUUGAUUUUUAAGAAAAACCUCGAUUUCAUUAACUAUGAGUAGAUGCUUUGUUUUUCAGCAGCUUGAGCCUUUUUGCUUGAUGUGUUUGUUUACUUUGAGGAUUUGCUCUGUAAAUCAUAGAACACUACUACUUUUGAUAACCUAAAUUAAUUGUUGUUUUCUGUACUUGCCUUUCGUAUUUGAUAUAUGGUGAAUCAGAAUUUGGUUUGCUUUUAAAAACAAGGGUAACUUGUGAUUUACAAUUCAACUGUUUUGCAGGGAUGGCUGGAGCUAGCCAGUGCUCGACAUUCAAUGGGCGCUGCUCGUGUCAGCAGCGCCUUGUUUAACCUCAAAUCUCAUCAUGCUUCAACAACACUGGAAAUAGACAAUGGUAGUUUGAUGCAAUUAUCAACUUACUGAUAAUACAAUUUGGUGUGCUUGUAUGCCUAAAACUUGGGUGGUUGACAAAAGAAAUGUGCUGCUAUGAUAAAUUUCACUGUUUGAGUAAAGGAUUUUAUGUUUGUCUUUCCAGUUGACGCCAAUGUAGAGCUACCGCACCUCACAUUGUGCAAAUGGGCGUCCUCGGAUGAUUCUGAAAAGAAUUCCGGGGGAGCCAAAUUUAAGGAUGAUGAAUUAUCAACUCCUCCCAAGCCUGAAAGCCCACGAACUCAGGAUGAGGGUACGUCUCACAAGUCCAGUAUGCUUUGCUUUUCUACUUUUGUUCUCUAAUUGAUUGUUGCAUGCGAAGAUGCUUACCAGUAUCUGAAUGUUGGCUAGUUAGCUCUAUCCUGCCAUGUCCAAGCCUUAGAUAACCGGGAACAGUUUUUACGUAUUUCUUGCAGCAGUUUUAUGAUUUCGAUAUUGUUGUCUUCUUCAAUUCUUCCUACCAUGUACUAUCCAGUUAAUAAGUUAGAGUAAAAAUGGUGUGGAGUUUUUAUCCCUGUUAGUGGUUUCUGUUAACACACUACUUAUAUGGAGUUGUUUUUGACUUGUGAAGAACCUCAAGACAGACGGGCAGAAAGUGGUGAAUCUCCGGUUUCUCCUGAUGAUCACGUAAGUUGCAACUGCCUCUAUUGUGUUUCCUCGAAAUGCUUGUCUAUCUGGUCUCGGAUGAAUCAAUCAGUCUAAUGAGUGAUGUUAUGGACUGUAUAGAGUUGAACAGUUUAACCCAUUCUGUAAAAGCUGUCCUCGAUGACCUAUUUGUGGCUAAGAUCUAUAUAUCUAGUAUAUUUUUUUGAAGGAAGCUUAAAAUUGUUUUGGCAGGCUCAACAGGCAAGAUCUAGGUCACUUUCCAUGUUUGGGACACUGGUCUCUCCUAAGCUUCGUGCAACCCAAACAUCAUUCGAGAGAGGUAACAUCAGUUCCUUGAGUUCCCCGACUACUAAUUUCUUUGGAGUCGACUAAUGCCCUUAAUCAUAACUGGCAACACUAAACCAGUACUGAAAAAUCUGAAACAUUCCUCAAUAACUCUCACUUAUUUUGAUUCUCGGGCACCUGUUCUAAUUUUGGCAGCUCUGGAGAUGCUGGUGGAGAUAUCAAAUGUACGAGCUUCUUUGCUGCAUGCUCACGAUCAAGUACAGAAAGACCUGAAGGCUGCCAAAUAGCUAUGGCAAGCUUCUCUUUGUUUACUCUGAUUCUAAGUCCCCCCCUCCAGUAUAGUCCAAGAUUAUCAAUCAUUUAUACAUACGGGAAGAUACGACAUUCACACGAUCCUAAUUUAUGCUUUUCCUCUACCCCACAUACCUUGCUUCUGUAACUCAGCAAGAGACAUAUAACCUAGAAAGAACAUGCUCGUCUGCUUCGGGGUGGUCCAAAAGUUGCUAUGUUGUAACAUAACUUCAUUCUUUUACUCUUUUAUUUUUCAGAGAGUGAUAUCUAUUGAACAGGAGGACUACUAAAAUAUCUCAUCUAUAUGCGUCUCAUUUGUUUGUCCGCGAACAAGGUAAGAGAUUCCUGAUUGCCUGUGUAUCUGUUUGUUUUAACUCAAACUUAUGCAAAAGGAGUGAUGAUUUUUGCCAGUGAGAAGCAAAUCUACUUAUGUUUUUGUCGUGAAUGCCUGAGCGGAUUGUAGCAAGUUUCCAUCUCUAUGGAUCUAGUGGGAUCCCUAAUUGAAUGCGUGUUCUUUUAUCAACGCAUGAGUUAAAGAAUCGAAUACUAUCGCGUUUGAGCUUAGGGCUUGUUUGUUUCAAUUAAACUCAGUUGGAAGUGUUUUUGUUUUGGGUUGUCUUUAUUCUCUUCCUCCAUCUUCAAUAUUUAUUUUUGGUCAAAACUUUUAGUUUUGACUUUUUACAAACAUGAACAACUCAAAAGUUAUGUAAGAGUUCUCAUUUAUUUCAAUAUUUUUAAUUUAAAUUUCGUGAAAAUAACUUUUUGACUUGUAUCUCGUUUCCUGUAAAUCUAACUUUGAUUGUCAUAUAUGGGUAAAUCCCGAUACUUUUUUGUUUUGAGAUUUAAUAAUCUCAAUACCUUUUGUAUAGUGUCGAUCCGAUCUCUUGAUUUUUGGCAUAUUGGAUAUCGCCGAAUUCUUCGUUACCCCAAAAAUGAUAUGACAUUAUAUCUUUCACUCGUGAUGUAUAUAUAUAUUUUUUUCCGUUUAUAAGCUAUUCAUAAAAUAAGUAAUCUCACCAUGUCAAUUUUUGGAUUGUCGGAAAAAUUUGGAGGUGACAAAUUGGCCACUAGUCUAAAAACAAGGUUUUAAUUGAAAUAUUUUAAAACUUGAACUUAUAAUUGUAACUUAACUAAAAAAUUAUGUAUAAGUAACAAUGCUACUAUAAUAAGUAAUCUUUAUAGCGACACACCACAUUGGAAAAUUUUGGUACAACAAUCUAUAAGACUACCAAUAUCGGCGCCCAAGCUCUCCUGAUCGACCGCGCCACCUUGAAUAAAAAUAUUAAAAAAAAAAAAAAAGGAUUCAUGGCAAUAAAAAGAUUUUUCAACUGACCUAGGUCUCUUCCAAAUCAAAUAAGACCAGCUGGUCUCUUCAUUUUUAAUUCAAAAGUAAGCUACGUGUCAUUUUUUGAUUGGCUUUGAUUUAUAUUAUAUAUAUAAUAUAUUUAUCUAUUUAUUUAUUUUUUCUCUCUAUAAAUAGGCAUGACAUUUGCAAUAUUUUUGCACACACAAAAAUCAUCUCCUUUACUUCACGUAUUUUAUCCAUUGUUCGUUACUAAAUUUUUAUCUUUUCAAUUUUUCAAUGGAUCCAAUAAAUUUCUUAUUUUAAUCAUAAUUUUAUAUAUUAUUUUUAACAAAAGUAAUUUUUAAAAUUGAAAAAUUAAAAUAAUUAGUAUAUACUAAUGUUGUGGUUGGGUGGUUGGAUGGUCAUGAAUAAGUCAUUCAAAAUAAAUGUGAUUAGGUUGGGAUGAUUAUUGAUAGGGCUGAUAAAUCGGUUCCGGUUAUCCGGUUAAAACCGAAACCGAACCGAAAAAACCGGUUAUCGGUUAACCGAUAACCGGUUUUUACCGGUUCGGUUCGGUUAUCGGUUAACAUAUUUUCUGUUAAUCGGUUUAACCGGUCGGUUAACCGGUUAAACCGAAUUAACCGAUUUAGUAUUAAAUUAAUUAAUUAAGGUAAAUUUGACUUCACUUUUUACAGCUGUACUCUUUCCAACUUCCAAGUAACAUCUGGAUUGAAUCCGAAAGGCCUCCUCGAUUGUUUCCUUUUCCAAAUUCCAAGAUUGUUUUCCUUUUCCAAAUUCCAAAUCAAUUUAGUCUAGGACUUGCUGAAAUUGGUUCGACACCAUCAUCGCCGGAUCUAGGCCAACCACCAUGAUGGAGGAGCGCGAAGACGGUGGCUCGGUGCUCGCCGGUGUGCAGCGCCCGACCAUCUGCCGCCGGUUGCGUCGCGUCCGAAUCGCGCGGUCGGAUUUGCAGAGGGCCGGCGAUCUCUUCGUUCACCUGCUGCACCUCUGUUACAAUCCCGCAAGGGCAGGCUUGGCCGCGGGCACGGGCGGCGACGGCGAGGUGGCGGCGAGACCGCGCGACAUCCGUCCGGCGAGGCCGCGUAAAGUCCUGGCUUCGAGCGAACACGUCGCUGCUUCCUCCUCUGAAGCGCCUCUCUUCGACUCGAGCUUGGACACCAACGCAGCGACGACGUCCGGCGGGAUCCGUUGGCGAGGCCGCGUGAAGUCGUUCCGGCGGCGGUGGUGGGCUGACGGGAAAGGCAGCGGCUGCUGCUGCUAAAACUUUGGAAAAAACUUGCUAAAUCUAGGGUUUUGUUGAAAUUAACCGGUUAACCGAACUGAAUACCGGUUCGGUUUUCGGUUAUUAUUUUAACUGUUAUUCGGUUCCGGUUAACCGGUAAACCGGUUCGGUUAUAACCGAAUCGGACCGAUUACCAGCCCUAAUUAUUGAUGAUUUCGAAAAGAGAUAAAUUAAUUAAAUAUUGACAAGAUUGGAUGAUUGAGUGGUUGUAAUGGUUGUUGUUAUUUAUGGUCUAAUUAACAACAUCACGAGUAGGGAUGUCAAAAAAGCCCGAAAUCGACGGGUCGACCCGAAUAGACCGAUAAAAAAAGGUGGGUUAGAGGUGAAAAUUUUUAGCCCGAAAAAAAUUUAACCCUAAUGGCCCGAACCGAAAAUAGCCCGAGCCCGAUAGGGUUGGCCCAAAAACCGAGUGGGUUGGCCCGAUUAACCGAACACAUUCUUAAUAAUUGAUUUUUAAACUUUAAUACUUUACUUUUUAAUUCAAUAAUAACAUUUUGAUGCUUGUAGAAUAUGUUUUGAUUGUUUUCAACGGUUAAUAACAAACAUCUAUGAUAUAAAAGUCAAAGAAAGAUAUUCAUUUAUAUUAAAUCUAUAUACAAUUUUUAUCAAAACAAAAUUAAAGUUAGAUAUUAUGUAAACUUAUGUUUAAAAAAAUACUAAUUUUUGUAUCUAAAAUAAAGCGAAUUGUCUUGAUUUAAAAAAUACGACAUAUUUUUAUUAAAAGAAUAUGAUUAUUUAUAUAUUAAAAAAAACAUAUAAAAAAAUCGUAAAACUUCGGGCCCGAACGGGCCAGCUCGAAACCGAGUGGGUUAGGGCUAGGGUCGAAAAAUUUUAGCUCGAAAAAUAAAAAAACCGACUAGCCCGAACCGAAAAUAACCCGAAACUGAAUGGGCUGGCUCGAAACCGAGUGGGCUGACCCGAUUGACAUCUCUAAUCACGAGGUCGUCCAAUUUGAACGAAUUCCUAAAUGCAACUACAAUAAUUAAUUAUUUUUUUAUUUAAGGCAGAUAUUGAUUAACCUAAGAUUUAAUAAGGAUAAUCCAUUUUUUAUAAAACCAUAUGGAUAAUCCUUUAAUUCCCUCCCAUUGCAAUUGGAUUCCUCCAUCCAUAAAUAUCUCGACAUUUAUUAUGGUGAUAAUUACAAAAAUAAUAACAAUGAUAGCAAAUAAAUGAAGCGGUCGGCCCAAAUAAAAGCCCAAAACACUGACGUGGCGAAAAUUUCGAGAUCCCGCCUAAACCCCCAAACCUCCUUCCCAUUAUUUGAGCGAAAGCGAUUUGGAGGGACUUCAAUAUUACCCACUUCACCCCUCCCCUUAUAAUAUCUUCACAAUUCUUCUUUUCUCCUCAAAUCCGACACCCUUGUUUCCCUCUCUGCUUUCUCUUUCUCUCCUCAAAAAAAAGCCAAAGCAAAACCCUAACCCUAGCUCCCUGCUUUCUCUGGUGAGUCUAUGCCUUCGCGAUUUCAAUUUUGCCGUUUCCUAUCUUUUACAUUUUGUUUCUAACUUAGUUUAUUCUUUUGGUUGAAGUGCUCGUCAUGAAAGGAGGAAAAACGAGAGCUGAUUCGAAGAGGUCUGAAAGCAGGUGAGCGUCUUCUUAGUUUUUUUUUUUUUUUUUCAUUUCCUUAAAAUUCCUCUGGUUUCGUAGCGUAGGUUCGGACUCGGCGAGCUUAGGAUAUUGUUUAUUGCGUGUAGUUAGUUUUAGUAUUUUUAAUUUUGGUGAUUUAUAUGUAGUAUGAGAUCUACUUCUAAAAAUCGAUUAUGUUUGUAAUUCUUCAAAUUGUUUGGACUUAGAUUUAGAUGAGUUGCAUAGCGUUUAUUGGUUACUUCUAGAUUUCCUUUAUUCACGGCUUGAAUGGUCGUGCUCUAAGAAUAGACAAACAAGAGUGAUUUUACUCUAGCGGAUCUGAGAGCAAGUCUACUAUCAGUGUUUGUAACGCUAUUGUCUUGUUCAUAAAAAAAAUCAGACUACAUACUUUCAAACAUACUGUGAAUGAGCUAGCCUUUGAUUUGUUAGCUUCAUCAUCUGUUUUUCCUUUUAGUUUUGUAUUUUUGUUGUUUGUUAAUUGUUAAUUGUCAUCUGUUUUUCCUCUUAGUUUUACUAUGUAGAUCUUAAUUUUGUGUUAGACAUUAAAACAACAAACCAAUUCUGUUUACCUUUGUGUGUUGUAAUUUAUCCAUAUGCUAGUCAUGGCCUGUGUGCUUGUGUGUUAUCCACGUUAGGUGUUUUUAAUGAUUAGUCAUUGUUAAGUUUCGUCACUUUGAAUAAUGUUGAUUGGUCAUCUUUUUUUAUUUGGGAUUUUGGCCUAGUUUGUAUAAUGUCCUGGUUUUGUUUGUCAGAGCAAUGAUAAUGUUAUGGUAAUGAUGUUAGGCUUGGUGUGAAGAUGUCAAAGAAGGAGAAGAAAGCUGCAAAGGACCCGAACAAGCCAAAAAGGCCUCCAAGUGCUUUCUUUGUUUUCAUGUAUUUACCUUGUCCACUGUUUGAUAUUUUCUAUCAUUUAUUUGUUUUUGAAUUUAUUUGGUGAUAAUAAGAGAUUCUGCUAUAUGAUCCUAUAUAUGAUUACAGGGAAGACUUUAGGAAGCAAUAUAAAGAAAAGCAUCCUAACAACAAAUCAGUUGCUGCUGUUAGUAACUCUGCCUUGCACUAUUUUGCUUCUGUUCUUUUUUAGAUCAUGGAGUAUCUUAUGCAAUUAAUGCAAUGUGUUUAGGUUGGUAAAGCUGGUGGUGAUAGGUGGAAGUCAUUGAGUGAGGAGGUAAAUAUGUUUUAGAUGCUUGAUGUCUGAUUGUCAAUAUUUUUUUUAUUCCCCAUCCUAUGGCUGUUUGAACUUAUCCUGGUAUCGGGAUAAUACAUGAUGUAGGAAAAGGCCCCAUAUGUGGCAGAAGCAGAGAAGCGCAAAGAAGGAUAUGAACGAAACAUGGAAGCCUACAACAGAAAAUUGGUAAUUGAUUAUUGUAGUUUAUUCUAUUUGUUAUUUGCCUAUGCUAGUUGCUAGAAUGCUUAUGUCAACUUUGUGUAAAUGUCUGUUCCAUUGGCCAACUACAGUAUUAUACUAAGUGUCUUUUGAAUGUUUUAAUAGGCUGGAGGUGCUGAUGAUGAUUCUGACAAGUCAAAGUCAGAAGUAAAUGACGAAGAUGAGGAAGGCAGUGGCGAGGUUUGUUGUCUAUAUAUGAACAGUGUUCAGUUCUCUUAUCAAUCAUUGAGAAUUUUACAUUUUUCAAUCAUGCUGACUAGAAUAUUUUUGUUCAAUUUGGUGUAGGAGGAAGAUGAUGAUUGAAGUGGGAUGACAAAUACUUUGUGACAAGACUAACAUUGAGAUUGUUAGUGUGCGUGGGAUGUUUUUCUUGAUAUGCUUAGGCGGCCAUACUCCACCAUUUGAUCUAAUGACAUGAAUUAGUAGUUUAUAUAACAUGGCAUUAACUUUGUUACUUUGGCUAACUAUUGAGACUAUGUGUAUGCUUAUUAUGGUAGAUCUAAAUGAGAAGCUUAGUUUUCCUAGUAGUUGCUCUGUUGCCCUUUUUUUUAUGUUCUGUUCCAUUUCUAUCUACUAUUGUUGAUGAUUGCUUCAUGGUGGAUUUCAUCCCAGUUAAGAUUUGUAUGAUUAGAGUGUUUAUAGGAUUUCUCUUGAUAUGAUUAGACCAUUCGUUUUUUUAUCAAUUAAGAGUUUAUGAUAUGCAUUUUGUGAAAUGCGAUCCAUAGAAUUCACUUGGAGUCUUUUGUCAAAAUUCUUUAGCUCUCAUUCCUUUAUUGGGUUGGAGUUGGCUUAAUCAGGGAGUGUCGUUGAAGUGGCUAAAUUCUUUAAAUUGCCAAAUUAUUGUGCCAAAAUUUUCAGUUGUGAUACCAUGGGCCAUGGCGAUGGAGUAUAGAGGGAUUUGGGUCUUGAGUUAAGAUGAGAAACUAUGCAUAUCUCGCCUUGCAAGUCCCAAUUGGCAAUAAUGGGCCAUUCUAGCAUUUGUUGGGUUUUUGAAGAUUUUACCCUCAUAUUUUAAUCGGUUUUUGGUGUGAUUCCAAUAAAUUUUAGUGCUAGUAAUUAUUAAUUGGCCUAGUAAAUUAUGGCACUACUUCUUACUUUAUUGAUAGAAGGACAGCUAUGCACUUAGGUGGCUUGGAGUCAGUGCUGUACUUUUGGCUAUGGAAUUCAUGCUAAAGUGAUUGAUUACAUAAGAGCUGUUUAUGUACUUGAACUAAUUAAGACUUUAAUCUAAUUUAUGGUAAUAUAUAAAUGCGAUGCAAUUUACAAAUUAUAUACUUCUACCAAAGUCAUGUGACGUCUCUGUUGAACAUUUUAUGCAAGAAUUCUCACCAUGCACACUUUGGUUAUAUAAAUGUGUACGUGACCUAUUCCUCUAGAAAAGAAAAAGAGAGAAAAUAAAAUAAAAUAAAAAGUGUACGUUUGUACACUUUUUGAACAAUGUAUUUAUGAGCAAGUACAAUGUAUUGCUGUUACAAAUAAAAAUGAAGUGUGCGGAGCGCUCAUUAAUUUACCACUUGAGUUUUGCUCGAAGACAUUAGGAAAGAUAUGCUAUAAUCAUAAAAAUAAAAGUAAGAAUACAAAUUGUUUAAUUUUGUGGUAAUUAUGGAAUUCUCACAGUUUCUGGAUAUAGUAAUUCAUUGUGUGCUGUUUCCAUUUUUCUCCUUCCAAAUAUAUCUCAUAAAAGCUGGCUUCUCCGCUGGCUCUCACAGUCAAUGCAGCCGUGCUUCUAGUCCCAUAUUUCCCCUACAAAAUUCACCAGUUUAAUGAUGAUGAUGAUGAUACUGAACAAUCUAGAAUCACAUAAUUACCAAUGGAGUGUCUACUUCAACAAAAAUGGAGCUCAAAUUGUGCUCCCAAUCGCGUGGGCAUAUGUUUGGAAGCUUGUUUUCAUCAGCUUUCUCGGUGUCCCUCAUCAGUUUCUCCACCAUCUCCUUCACCGGGAUCUCGCCCUCUCCAUAUCCAUCAACUUGCACCUUGAAGCUCGUCUCCAACCGCUCCGCCUAAGCUUCCAAAAAAGGCCAGUAUGGUCUCACGGAUCUUGAUGCAUGCUAGUUAAAACAUAACACAUUUUUUCCUAGAGAAAAAAAAGAGCAUAUCUUGAGACGUACCUUAGGCCAGGGGGAGUCGAGCAUGGCGUUGGAGAGGACGUGGAUGCCCGGAGGAACCGCUUGAAUGGAGAAAGGGGCCUCUUUAUGCCUAUUGGAGAUAUACACCAUGCAUUUGGAGACUAGAUCGGCCACAAUGAGGUUGAACCCAUUGUAUUGGUCAGCCUCCUUCGCCAGCUCCUCCGCAAACGCCUUUGGACUCUUCUUGCUCUGGCCCCGCCACAACCAAAUCAUAAAAAUAAAUAUUAUGACCAUCUAUCUUCUAGUUUUGGGCUCCACCAAAUAUUACAAAUAUAUCAUUAAAAAAUUAAACUUGUGUACCUUCAAGAAACGGAUAACGAGGUCUCCUCUAGUUCUAGCCUCGGGGAGGGUGUGGAGCUCCAAGACGUUGGUGAGGAAGGCGAGCCGGCCUUGUUUGGAGGAGGCGAGCCAUGUGCCUCCGGCCACCUCGUCCUUGCCUCCGAUGAUCUCUCCACCGUCCCACCACCCGACCGGCGUCGUAGCCCUACAAAUGAAAUGACCAAAGCAGUCAAGAAUGGUUGUUGGGAAUGAAUGGGAAGUGUGCAUGGAAACUUGCCUAUUGUGGUAUUCAUCCCUGUUGAGGAGGAGAAGGAAAGGGUAGAGAGGGUGUUUUUGCCACAUAAACACCGCAAUGCACAUUUUGCUCUUAAUAAUUCAAGAAUCUAAUUUGAAUAUGAAACAGAUAAGAUUGAGAAGUUGGUCUCUUUUAUAUAUCUCUUCUUCUUAUGCUAGCCACCUAUCUAUUAUACUUGAUUAUACCUCCCUCAUAGCUUUGAAUUUAAUAUAAUGACUAUAUGUAUAUAUUAUGAGUUGUCAAGAUGGGAUAAAGAUUGUUUUGAUUAUGAAUAUGGCCAGUUCAUAAUUUGAACGGAAAUGAAAUUUAUUAAAUUCCGAAAUAACAAUGUGCCGCAAUCGGUAUGAUCAUUCCAUAUAAACUGCAUGCAUGUUACAUAAAACAAUAAAAGAAGGGACGUGAUAUAUAAACUAAACCUUUAAAUGGGUCGAGUAUUUAUGUGGAAAUAAGUACCUAAUGAUUGAAUAUUGGGAAUUCCCAAGGCACAAGUCCAAACUCCACUAACAAUUUUAUAGGUUUAAUUUGUGCAUGUUAUAUAUAUCUGAUUUAUCCAUGUCACAUUUGUCCUUUGCAUAAUUUACUACAAAUUAUUGCAUAGAUAGAUUUUUUUAAAAAAUAUAUCUCACUAUUUAAAUAAUGUCACGUAUGUUAACUUAUAAUUUUUGAUAUCAUUAAACUGAAAUACCACAUCAAUUAAAAGUGUCACAAAAGUAUGUUAAUCUAUAUCAUAAGAUUGAAAUAUCACAUCGAAAGGCAUUGUAGAAAUACACGUUACAAAAAUUACGUAGAAUUUUCUCGUGCCACAUGAACACUAAACAAUGUCGUUCCGAUGUUAAUUAGAGAAAAAUAAAUUUUUACUGAGAUUUAGAAAAUUAAAGCGCCCAUCUGCUUAAACAAUAUUUACACAAAAUAUCACCGAAUUGAUAUUAUUUCCCGCUAAUAUACGAAAGGCAUUAAAAUGUACAUGAAUAAGUUAUUUAACUGGUGCGGUGUGUGAAAUAUUUUUGUUGAUUUUUUUCAUAAAAAUCCAAUCUUCUUAUUUUUUUUAUUAUUUUUUUAAAUCCUAAUUUUGACGUAAAAGUGAAUGCUAUAAUAAAUGCUUUUGUUAUUUGCACCGUCUCAACAGAUAGAGAGUGCACACAAUUUAAGUUUUGGUCUAUACUCUUUGGCAGCUGUAACACUUAUUGUCAUCAAUUUGGAGAAAUUAAAAGAUGGAGUAGUAUGGUAGAUUGGGUAAGCUAGAUUUAAUAAUUGAAUUAGAUCUCGAUAACCUAAGUUUUGCAGCUACUGUGAUGAAAUAGUAAUUAGGACUGCAGUAGCUUUUGUAAUUAAUCGAAACAGUCUUUUAAUUAGUGAAAUUUUUUGGAUGGUGACGUAUGAGGUUUGGAGAAAUUAAGACUUUUUUUGUUCAUUCUGUAGAUGAGAUGGAUGCCGAGCUACUUUAAUCUUCAUUUUCAAAUCAAAUAAUAAACCUUGGUUUGAUAUCUAUUUUUAUAUUAAUAAUUUGACGCUACGUUUGACUUCAUUUUCAUUUUACAGUUUUUAGUUUGACACUACGUUUGACUUCAUUUUCAUUUUAUAGUUUCUUUAGGGAUUAUGAGUAUUCCCUCCUUCUCAUUAUAAGUGUCUUAUUUCUUUUGGACACAAUUAUUUAGAAAUAAUUAAGUUAAUUAGAUUAUUAAAUGGUAUGGUGUAGAGUUGAAAAGAUGAUGUAAAUUCUAAAGAUUUUUAUUUUUUUAGACUUUUAAUUUUUUUUAUAAAGGGGAAUAAAACAUUUAAAGUAGACAAUUUAAAAAAAAAAAAAAACUUUAAGUGAAACAGAGUGAGUAUUUUUUUUUCUUUCACGAUGGCAAAAAUACAAACAUAACAAAUUGUUGUUUUUGGGUUUGUCUAUAAUUAGACUUGCAAAUGAAAAAGUAACUUAAAUAUUUAUGAUGUUCAGAGUAAAUAAUAGUUGGGUUAAACUAAAAAAAUAUCUUUACCAUAAGAAUGUGGAAUUAAUCUACUUCCUUAAUCAAUAAAUAACUAAUGGUCACGAUCCCCCAAGUCAAAAAACUAAUGGUCACGAUUUAAUCAAUAAUAUAUUUGAUCUCUUUAAACUAUUGAUAUUUUUCUCUUUUUGAUUUUCCCAUAUGCAAUACGCUAGUAGUAAAAGUUUUUCUUGAAAUUCAAUCAUAUAACACAACUUUUACUAUCUCUAGUUAUUUUCCUUUUUGAUCAUUUACCUCAAGUCAUUUAGGACCUUUAAAAGCACAAAUCCUACUAUUUUAUAUACAAUAGCAUUAUUGGGAUAAUCUCAAUUUUAUUUCUUAUGUUAUGUGUUUAUUGUUUAGCAUACUAUUUGAGAUAUAAAGGAGAACAGCAAGUAUUUACACAACUGGGGUUUUGAAUUAAAAAUAUGUCUGGAUAAAAAAUAAAAAAAUGUCCGGUUCAAAUUAUAUAUAUAUAUAUAUAUAUAUAGUAUAUAUAUAUAUAUANNNNNNNNNNNNNNNNNNNNNNNNNNNNNNNNNNNNNNNNNNNNNNNNNNNNNNNNNNNNNNNNNNNNNNNNNNNNNNNNNNNNNNNNNNNNGAACAUACAUAAUUUCUCACAUUUAGACAAAAUUAAUAGAACCCAUUGACAAAUUUUGGGCCCAAGUCCUUUCUUUUUGGGCCCUCUGAAUAUGGAAACUACAAAAUAGUUGAAGGCUAUAGCGACAAGCCAUAUAGAGGAAUUAAUACCAUAUUGAAUUGUGAAUAGUCUUGUGCGUGGGAUCGAUUUACAGAUUAAAAACCGUGAGAUGAAUAAGGAUUUAAAUUCAAAUAUAACCGAUGUUAUUGGAUAUAAGUUUUUAGUUUGAUUCUCAACCCUUAUUAUGGAUUUUGAUCAGUUUUUUAAAUUUUGACUCUGACACUCUCACACAAAGUUUUGUAUUAAAUAACACUUGUUUGAUGAAAGUAUAAUAUCAUAUUAAAGUGAAAACUCAUAGUAACAAAAUAUAAAUGGUUGAAAAAUCAAGAUUUGUAUGUUCUAUAUUUGAGGAUAAAUAUCAGAUUAUGUCCAUCAUUUCAGCGUGUAUUUAAAAAUGUUUCUAUUUAAAGAUAAUUAUAAAUUAAUAUUAUUCGUUUCAUAAAAACCAUGAUUGUGUUUAGCGAAAAGUUUUUGUUGCUUGAGAGAUGAUAGGUCAUAUCGAAACAUCUGCGUAAUAACGCGGACUUAGUCUCUAUAUUUUUUUCUUUUUUUCCUUUUUCUUCAAAACACACACACACACACAUGCCCAUGCUCUCAAUGCAUUAUUGAUUUCACCAUUGAAGAGCUCGGAGAAGGAAGUCCGAAGUUGUACCUGUGAGAAAUAUUCAAAGAUGCAGCGUGAGUUAGCUCAACGUUAGUAAAAUAUUCACCUUAUUGUUACAAAUAUUAUCUACAUAUAUUAAGUAUGUGAGUGGAAUAAGAGUCUGACUUUUAUUGUGAAUGAGUUUUGUACGUACAUUUACCAAAAUAAAUAUGAAUAUUCAUUUUGGCUGAUGGAGAGUAAUAAUAUUAUUUAUUUAUUAUUAUUUAUAUAAAGUUCACUCGAUAAAAUACUUUAUUUGUUCACUGUUAUUUGGGAAUGUAGAAAAUAAAUGACGAUAAUGGAAAAGAUGCAGAACCGAGGUGAAAAUAAAUCUCUCUUCGUAAGGCAAAAUUACUUCCGCUCUGUGCUUGCGGAUCUACAGUAAUUGCCCCCAAGAUACAACGGUUUAUGGAUGAUAGAUGAGUCCCUAGCACUAGAAGAUCGUUAUCCGGUCGAAAGGCUUGAUACUCGGGAUUGAGUAUGUAUACUAAACUAAUAUGACAAGAUUGAUUAUCUGAAUUGAGUGAUCAAAUUUCAUUUUAGGGGGUCCUAUUUAUAGUAGGUGGAGGGGUGUUGUGAAAGGGUGUCUGCAGGGAGGUGGCUGACCAAACCAGUGCAAUGAUUCGAACCAUCAUACUGUUUCGGCCAAAGGGUGUGAUCCAACCGCUGGCACCUCACCCGGCCUUAUCCAACCGCUGCCACGUCAGCAUCGCCCUUCAACCCGGAUUCCUUAUCCGCCACACAGGUGCCACGUGUCGGUAUAAUCCGCCACGUCACCCGAGCCACCGUUUCAUUUAUCAAAACUAAAGGCUCCUCACGACAACGUGAAGUGCUCUACAAAGCGCCCAUUGCGACAAGUGCGACGUGCACAGUCUCGGACUCGGAAUUUGAGUUUUAGCCUUAAAAGGCUAAGUCAAAACCCACUUGGGUGCACCAUAAGGUCCACCAUAGAGGAGCACACUUGAUUGUUCCUUUAUGGUAGAGAGCACUUUAUAAAUAGCUUACAACUUCCUAGUUUUUUCAAUGUGGGAUAGCACACCACAUUUCCUUUUACAAAUCACUAUCUUUGGGCAUUAAUUACUCAUUCAAUUCUUAAUUGAUUUGAACAAGUGAAUAUACCAAAUAAAUCUACUCAAUAUGUAGAUUCCAAAAAUAUCAUUUAAUUCUAUUAAUUACCAAAGUAAUUAUGGCAUUAAAUAAGCUAUUUAUUCCAACAUUUACCAAAUAAGUAUCCAUAUUUUGUUUUUUAUCCAUCCAACAAAUGAGUACCAAUUUCCUUUUUUGGUAAGUGUACCCUUGAUAAAACUCACUUUUAUAUGGGUUUUAAGGUUUUUUAAGAUGUCAAUUUUGUAGAAAAUUGAGUGUUUGAUGAUUGUUUUGUGCAUAACUUGCUUUAUAUAUAUAUAUAUAUAUUGCGAAAUGUGAUACUUGGUCGUACUUUGAUGAAAUUUACAGAAAUAUUGAAGUUGAAUUUAGAAAAAUGGUCUGAAUGAAAAAUUUAGAUCAUUUUAGUACAAGUUCUUGAGCAUAAACGGGAUGCAGAUCGAAAUUCACACAAGGGAUAUAUGACUGAAACAAGAAAGUUGCGAGCAGUAGUGGAAGCUCGGCGACGUGCUCAUCGAUUGCUGUCGAGGCUCCGUGUUUUGUUUUUCCACUCGUUGAAGUGCUCGAAGGUACCAAAUGGGGCAUACACACAACGACAUCCUCGGAGCUGAGCAUAACGACAAGACCUCAAGGUCAGAAAGCGGCAAAGCGAGACGAAGGGAAAGGGCACGAAUGUGGAAUCCUCGACGGGCAGAGAAAAAGUGAAAUACUACGACACAAUGGACCACAUCGCAAAAUGCAUCAAGUUUUUCAGCAACACUCAAUGAGAAGCUCUCAACUUAAAAUAGGAAGCUCUGGAUUUAGAAAUUCUCGACACGAACACCUUGAAAAUGAAUGCACGACAAUCAGCAGUGCACAAUUCACAGCUCGAGAAAGUCAUGAAGCUUCGAGGAUUGAUGUAAUUUUUUAAUUAUUACAAUUUCAUUUUAGUUAUUGUAUUUUAUUUUAAUUAAUAUAAUGUGGCAAUUUUACUUUAAAUUUUAAUAAAAUAUUGAAUUUUAAAAUUGAAGAGAUAAAAUGAAAUGAAAUGGACAUGAAAAAAAAUUAAAGUUCAUUGUUGUGGAGUGGAGGCUUUUAAGUGAGGAUCCUUAGAGCUUCUCGAGAUGUUUUUAUAAUAAAAGUUGAUAUAGCAACUAUCAACAUCUAAACUAAUAUUAACUGAACAUCAUGAUUUUAUAACCUGGAUCGAACGAAUUACAGGCGAAUCGAUGAACUCUUUAAGUACUUCCGAACAAAAUAGCAGAGAAAAGGUUUUUGUAUUCAAUAUAGCGUAUCCUUUACAAACGAGGUGAGCUAACUAUUUAUAAGAGAAAUACAAGAAGGAUAAAAUAGUGAAUCUAAUAUGAUUCACAUACUCUUCAUACGACAACUAAUUUUCCUAUCACUAUCGUUAAACAUCCCACUUGCAGCUUUUGUCAGGUGCGUUCUCCGAAAUUAGACAAGCACUGACUUUUGGAAGCCAUGUACGCUGACUUGUAGGAACCGUGUGCUUGAAUUACGCCAGAUCUUUUUCCUCAUACUGCACCAGAUCUUCUUUAAUCUAUGCUGGAACUUCCCUUUCGAUAUUGGAUUGGGCUCGAACUUUCUUAACAUGACCCUGUAUUCUGGUUAUGUCCAACAUUGUAUUAAUUAGGGGUAUUGGCCUGUAAAUACUCGAACUUUUACCAUUUUCUGGUUUUGUACCCCAACUUUAAAAUCAGCCUAGAAAUACUCAAACUUUGUAUUCUUUUUUAUUUUGCACCCAAUGAAUUUUAACCCUCAAAUCGUUGCUAACAUGGUAGCCAGAUUGACAUCCCAAAUCUACAAUUACAUGUUCUAAAUCCCACAUUGACAACAAACUUAUCUAUUUCGUUAUGAAUCAAACUUCCCUCUCAAUUAAUCUGGUUGUCAUCUCAUCAACGAUUUGAGGGUAAAAAUUCGUCGGGUGCAAAAUCAGAAAGAAUACAAAGUUCGGGUACUUAUAGGCUGAUUUUAAAGUUGGGGUGCAAAUCUAGAAAAUGAUAAAAAUUCGAGUAUUUAUAGGCCAAUACCCCAAUUAAUUAUUAUUCUUUAACAAUAACCAGAUUAAUUGACAUAAAAUAAUAAUAAAUGAUAAAUAAUUCAAAAUAAACAUUUAAUUAAAUAUUCAGCGCUGAUGUAGAUAUUACUCCUCAUCAAAAGCGAGUUUUUAUUUCAUUCACAUAUUUAAUUAAUUUCUUAAUAUUUGUGUCACUUUAAAUAAAUACUCGUACGGUGGACGGAGAGAGUGUGAUUUAUUAUACAACAAGUAGAUUUCCUUCAAGAUUGUGAUAAAUAUCUUUUUUCAUAUGCAAUAUAUGUCACUGUACAUGUUAGGUGAGUUUUGCAUUGGGAAUGACUUAGUGAAAGUUCAUUAACUUUGUGACGUAUAAGAAAAAAGGAUAUUAAUAUGUAUGUGUUGGUUGAGUAGCAGGGUGACUAAAUAUUUGAGCUAAGUUUCAUGUUUAAAUAGAUCUGUAUAAUUAAUUUUUCAAUUACAAAAAAGAAAAAGGAUAGUACAUGUGGAACUCUAUUUUGUUUGAAUUGAAACUAUUUUUUUACAUGGAACAGAUUUAGAAAAUUUGCAACGGAAUCAACGAUAACUUAAAACGAAAAGUGACAACCAAUUUUACAUAAAUACAAUUCGUUAUACAAAUUAAUAAACAUAACUAGUAUUAUUAUGUAUUUGUUGUUAUACAAAUUAAUAAACAUAAAUAGUAGUAGUAUUUCGAUACAAAGUAAUCUUCAAUAUCCAAUUUGUAAAUAGAAAUUCCAAAUACUCCAUUACAUAUAGGAAUGUCACGAAAAGGGCAACAAAAGAGGGAAAAAAAAAGAAAAAAAGGAAGCAGAAAGAAACGAAUAGAACGACGUCGUUUGGGAGUAGUUAAAUUUUACUCAUUGAUAUCAAAAAGCAGCGGAGGAAAAGAAAAAAAAAAGGAAAAGGCUCUCUCGCUCUCUCUGUCUCUCUCCUCUCUCACUCCAAAACCCAAAGACAAUGGGUAAGGUACCAACUGCGGCAGCAGCAACAACGGAGAUGAAGAGAAAGAAGAAGAAAGGCCGUCCUUUGAAGAACCCCCCUCCCCUCUCAACCCCACCCAAAGCCCCUCUUUCCAAUUCCGCAAGCCGACGAUCCACCCGCCGGAACCCUAAUCACCUUAAUUCUCCGCCGCGGCCGGACUUCGAUGACGACGAAGACGAGCGCAAGGAGAAGAAGGUCAAACUCGUCGUUCGCCUGCCCCAAUCGGAUGAGAAGACUAAGGCUGAUGAGAAGAAUCAACAGCAGCUCCAGCAAAGCGGGCGGCAUUCCCACGAUUCCGAUUCGGGUUCUGAGUCCGGGUCGGACUAUGAUUCGGACCCUGAGGAUGAGGAUCGGGAGGGCCCAGCGAAGAAGCGCAAGAUAAUUGGCGAUGAUGGCGGAUCUGACGAUGGGGGUUUGGAUCAGGUUUGGAUUUGCUGCUGAAUUUGUUAGAUUUUUCGGAAAUUGCACGGGAUUUGGCGUUGUUCGUCUGGAGGCUUUACUGACAUAUUUGAUUUGCUUUUGCUUGCAUAAAUUUUCAAUUUUUUUUGUGAAUAAUGCGAAGCUAAAGUUUCUAUUUUGGGAAUAUUUUGGCUCCGGAAUAUCAGGGGGUUUUUAAAAUGUGGGUUUUGAUUUGAUGGGGCUUUUGGGAUUUCCCGCUCAAAAAAUUAAUUGUUUUACUUUUCCUUUUCUGUGCCGUGGCUUCUGAAGAUCUGAAGUGGAUGUUGUGUUUUGACUCAGUCAAGUUUAUGUCGCAACAGUACAGAUUAAUGAUUCAGUUUCCUUGUAAAUUUGUGAUUUUUACAUGAUUUCUUUACGUUACUGUAGUUUCUUUAUAAUUUACUGUGAAUAAAACUUACAUAUAUGAAUCAUGUACUACUUCCUAUGUAUUAUUAGAUGCUAGUUUAUGCUCUAUUUGAUCUACUUUUAGUCUAUUUAUGAAGACCAUUCCUUAUCCAAGUAAAGAAUUUUAUCAAUUUUUUUAUUUGACAACGUGGGAGCAUGCAACCCCUAUUUUCUCAUUUGUUUAUAUAGCAGUGUGUUUUGAUACAAGUUCAGUUUUGGCUUUAAUUGGCUGUGGCAUAAUUUUCCCUCUCGCACUGCUGAUGCUAUUUUUUCAUUAACCGAUUCAUUGUCGAACUGCUUCAGUGCGACUCCUGCUAUUUUUUGAGUGAAUAGUUGUGGGGUUUUGAAUAAUGAGGGUUGCAAUUGCAUUGAUGUUUGCAGGAUAAAGAGAUUGUGAUGAAAGCGACAGACACUCCUCUACAAGGUUUUACUCAUAAUUUUAGGAGUUAGGAUAAAACUUUAAUGAUAAAUAAAAUUUCUUUUAGUUGAGAAAAUUAUGUAGGGGAUCCUUGUUCCUGAUUUGACUUGGAUUCUCAUUUAAUUUUUGUGGACAGGGUCACCAUUGGAGUCUGGUCCCACAGCUGCUUUACCUGAAAAAAAGUUGUUGGUAUUCAUUCUUGACAGGCUUCAAAAGUAUGUACUUGCUUCUGUUCUUUUAGUUUCGGUUGAUGCUUAUUUUUUUUUGUUAUCUCGGUUCUCGGACUGUUUUAUUUUGGGUUUUCCACUACUAGUUGUCAGCAAUAGUUUCUUGGAUGUAUCUUGAUGCAGGAAGGACACAUAUGGAGUGUUUUCUGAGCCUGUGGAUCCCGAUGAGGUGAUGACACCAUCGCAGAUUGUUUAUUAUACUAGAUUAUUCUCUUCUUCUUCUGCUGAUUUAGAGAAUUUUUCUUGCAGCUGCCUGAUUAUUUUGACAUAAUAAAGCAUCCAAUGGAUUUUGGGACAGUGAGGAAGAAACUUGAGAGUGGAGCUUACAAAAACUUGGAUGAGUUGGAGGUUGGUUUGAUGAUGAGAAACAGAAGUUUUUAACUCAUAAAGCUUUACUUUUGUUUUCGUUUCAUUUCUUUUUUGGUGGUUGAAAAGUUUGGAGAGUGUAGUAGGUUGAAGAUCACUUAGGUUUACAGAAUGGCUAUCUUAAUGAACUCAAUUUUCAUUGAUCUAUCAUUUUCAUUAUUUUAUUUUUCUUUACCAAGAUCCUGAAGUCCAUGGUUUUUGAGAUAGCUUUUUUAUGAAAAAAAGCAAAUUGGAAGCUGAAAGCUUUGUGCUUAGGCUAGAUUUACUGCUACUUGAAUGUUCUGUGACUUCUAUAACCUUGACUACUAACAUGCUAGAACAGUUAUUUCUGGGAACAUAAUGAUCAUUAGAUGCUUCCAGAACCAAUAUAAUUGAUUCUAUGAGAGCCAAGAAUUAACCAGGAUACGCACAUUACGCCAUUGACUUCAUCUGUGAGCUUUUUUCUUAUUCAAUAGGUAUUCUUGUUGUAGUAUUUUGAUGGUAUAGAGAUUGCGCCUUAGUAAUGGUGACUUUGCAUGCCAUCUUGGAUUGAUUUUUAUAUAAUAUACUAUUGCUCACAUUUUUCUGUUUUCCACUUGAUCUUUUUUGCACUACUAGAGCUUGGUUCAAGAGUAUAUUCUUGUCAAUUCAGCUUUGGUUUCUUCUAUUAUGUAAUGGAGGCAAAAACGAUGGAAAUGCAACUGAAUUUUACUCGAUUUUUUAUUAUUAUUUCAGGCUGAUGUAGAUUUGAUAUGUUCAAAUGCCAUGCAAUAUAAUGCUGCAGAUACAGUCUACUAUCGGCAGGUUUGCCUUGUUACUGGUUUACGUUUUGUUUCCUUGUUUAGUCAUCCUUUUAUCUGAAUAAUGGGAAACAUUAGGCACGAACCAUACAAGAGCUUGCAAAGAGAGACUUCAAAAAUCUGAAGCAUGAAGGUGCUGAUGGUGCACCCCAACCGAAGAUAGUGCGGAGAGGCAGGCCGCCAAGCAGUAAGAACCAGAAGAAACCUCUUGAGACGUCCCCAGUAGAUCGUGUUGGCACUGACCUUUCUUCAGGUGCAACUCUUGCUAAUGGAGAAGAUAAGGCAACUGGAUCUAAUUCUUACAAUCUAAGAAAGGCGUCACCAUUAUUUAGGUACAGGUCCUCUGACCCAUUUAUGUCACCUUACUCUUCAAGAAAUGGUGAAAACUACUCCGAGUAUUCGACGGAUUGGAAUAAUGAAUUUCCAGGUAUUGGUCCGGAUGCUUUGUCAAAGUCCCACCAGUAGUAAAUUUUCAUGCAAUGAGUUAACCCCUUCUUUUCCAACUUGCAGCAUCAAUUUUAAGGGCUGAUAUGAAAUAUGGAAAAAAACAGUUUACAGUGGAUGAGAACAAGCGUGACACCUACCGACAAUUUGAUUCGAUGUCUUUAGGCGACAAUUCGCCCAUUUUGUAUCAUUCAAAUGGAAACAUGAAGCGACUUGUGCCGGUAUUUUUUCUUCUUUCAGGAAUUCUGAAAUUUGUUCUGUUGUAUGUGUGCUUCAUUUCAAGUACCUGACUUGCCUUCUGUUCGUUCCCCUCUUGUAGGUGGGUCUUCAAGAAGCGCUUGCUUAUGCUAGAAGCCUGGCAAGGUAUGCUGCAAAUCUCGGCCCUGCAGCUUGGAAAAUGGCAUCGAAGAAGAUAGAGGCCGUCUUACCUGCAGGGGUACAAUAUGGUCCUGGCUGGGUGGGUGAUAACGGAGCACCUCCUCAGCCAUUGCCUACCUCAAUCGAGAAGCAGAAAUCGUUUGUUGGGGAUUUUAGUUCAAGCAAACUUGUUACACCCCGAACUUCUUCUGUCGGGGCCACUGGGCCCUGUGAAGCUAUGGUUGAAGCUGUUAAAAAACUCAACAACCAGAACGAGGUAGCCGGUCAAGGUGAUGCGUCUUCUUGGAGAACACAAUUGCCACCCCAGCAAAAUCACAUGCACAACUCCCACAGAAAUGGCUUUACUGGAAUGUUUGGGUACGGUGGUUCAUCUGCAAGAGCAGCAACGCCACAACAUCCAGUUGCAGAAGGAUUCUCUUCUCCAUCUCCAAAGGUGGAAAUAGCAUCCCCAAAUGACCGUUCAUCAAACCAUUCUUCAGCGAUCGAACAAGCUAAGUUGCCAGAAGGCGGCAGCAGCGCUCUACCCCCUGGAUAUCAAACGGCGCAAGUUAAAUCCGUUGGAGAAGCUGAGACGCGUACUCCUGCGAAAUCUCCAUGGCAGGGGCUGCCGGCGCAGCAGCAAAGAUAUAACCUUGCAGUUCCACCGGACCUGAAUGUAAGAGUCCCGGCCGGCUCACCUGGUCCAAGCCUGCAAAUUGGUUCACCGCAACAGCCGGAUCUGGCAUUACAGCUCUGAAUACUACUGAUUUAUCCAUUUUUAGUAGGCUGCUGCAGUUCUUUCGGCAUUGUCAGUGAGGAAAAUAAACACAGGCUUGCAAUCAAGGGCUGCAGGUCGACGACGACAGAGUUCAUCAGAAAGCUUGUAUAGAUCGAUCGUGUAUCUAAUUCUUUAGGCAGAAUUAAACACUGUUUUAACAUUUGUGACUUCGACAAUGACCGUGACCGGGGGAGACGACCGAGCUACAGAGACGUCGGGAACUAGCUAGCAAGCUUUUAGGUUGUUUGAGUAGAUUGGAUUACAUAGAUAGGUUUCUGCAUUUGGAUAUGAAUCAACAGUGUAACAAUAUUUACAUGAGAUGCUACCCCAUUAUUUACAAAGUAUGAUUGUAAGCUCAUUUAUUGGAUCCAGAUACUUUAUGAAAUUUCUGGGAUUACUUAACGAGGAACUGUGAUCAGAACCUAAUUUCAUACAUUAAUGAAGUCCAAAAAGGAGACAUGAAUAUGAUCCACCAAUGUAAUAAUAACUUAAUAAGUAGAUGGAAAAUGAUAUGCAAUAAAAUGGGCAGGUAGUACCGUUAAAGAUGGAGGUAUUAUAGGGAAUCUCUUUGUAGGAGACGAAUUUCGAGCUAAAUAUAGUAUCAUGAAGAAGAGAAAAAAGGGGUCCUGAAAUUCUGGGGAUAUAUUUGGGUUAUGUUUGAAAGUUUGUUGUGUUACGAUUGAGAUGUGAAAUACCUGAUUUUUUUUCCUUUGCAUGGAUCACUAUUUUUAGUAUAUAAAUUCUCUGGUUGUGUUUUGCUUAUGAGGAGAUGUGUAAAAUGUGGUUCUUUUCAUUACUUAGGAAAAGGGUUGUCCGGAGUUGUGAAAGAAGAGAGAGAAUAUAAUCUUCUCUCUCCAAAACACUACUUGUUCUUCCAAAUUCUUUCUUCUUCACUCAUGUAAGGAAUGAUUCGCUAGAAUUUCACGUUUCGAUGAAAAUGGAAUUCGCUUUGGGAGGCUAAGUUGGUGGCUGCAAAAAUUCUUGGACGAUCAAUCUUCUCGAGAAGGAGAUGAGUUGCUUUCCUUGCGUAAGCUUUAGGCGUGAGGAUGUACUAGACUAUGAUGAAGAUAUAAACCUAAAAUCCAUCGAAAAAUUAGGUAAUUAAGUUUCUUGCUUAAUUUGUUUUCGAUGUUAAUUUGAUCCGCAAUCCCUUGUGUUUUGUUUCUUGAUGUGCAGUUGAUGCAAAGGGAAAUGGGAAGUGUCAAGGUUGAAGAAGGUAAGUAAUGAAAUCAAGCCUAUAUAUAAUCUCUUAUGUGUGUUGUGAUUGUCUUGAAUUCUUGAAGACGAAGAGGGCGAGGGGCGAGGGCGAGGGAGAGAGAAAGGCAUUUCGAAGAAGGGAAACAUGGCCCGGAGCUUCACGUUCAAGGAACUCGCGGCCGCUACCCAGAAUUUCAAGGAUGCCAACAUGAUCGGGGAAGGCGGGUUUGGCAACGUGUACAAGGGCCGGCUCGACUGUGGCACGGUACGUAGGCACGCCCCGUUUUUAAUUUCGUCGGAUCAAUGAUCAAGAUCUCAAUUUUUGUUGUUGAUGAAUUGGUAGGUGGUUGCUGUGAAGCAACUGAAUCUCGAGGGGCUUCAAGGGCACCAAGAAUUUGUGGUGGAGGUGUUGAUGCUGAGUUUGCUGCACCAUCCCAACCUUGUGAAUCUCAUCGGUUACUGCACUCACGCUCAACAAAGGCUCCUGGUUUAUGAGUUCAUGUCCAGAGGCAGCCUCGAGAAUCAUCUCUUUGGUAUGCCAAUGUCACACAUCAUCUUUUAUCUUUGCCUUUGAAAUGUAUCGAUAAAGACCAUGCAUUUUACUAUGUAACCAAUCGUAACAUGGGACAGAGCCUUUAUAUUUUUAGGGGACGUUUAUUUUGCAUGAUUGAUAAAAUGCAUGAUUGAGUAUUUUUAUGGUCAAGGUAGGAUUUCUCUGAUUCCACCCUUUCGAUGGGACUAGCUUAAAUGAUAGAAAUAAUUAAGGGCAUUAAGAUAUCCCAAAGUAAACAAGGGAUUAACCUUACUAUUUUAAUCUAUCAAGGCUAAUUCUCCAAAGUUGUGGUUGUUAGAUCUAGAGGCGGAUCAAGAGCCACUGAGUUGGGCGACGAGGUUGAAGAUUGCGGUUGGGGCGGCUCGUGGGCUCGAAUACCUCCAUUGCCAGGCAAAUCCACCGGUGAUAUACCGCGAUCUGAAAUCGUCGAACAUAUUAUUGGACAGCGACUUCAACGUGAAGCUGUCCGAUUUCGGGCUGGCCAAGCUGGGGCCGGUGGGCGACAACACCCACGUCUCCACGCGAGUCAUGGGAACCUACGGCUACUGCGCCCCGGAAUACGCCAUGAGCGGCAAGCUCACCUUGAAAUCCGACAUCUACAGCUUCGGAGUCGUGCUGCUCGAGCUCAUCACCGGCCGCAAGGCCAUGGACUUCAGCAAGAAACCGGGAGAGCAAAAUCUUGUCGUAUGGGUGAGUUUUCGGAUCAAGGGCAGGGGGGGCUCCAGCACCCCUAAACCAUAUAUUUUCUUGAAAUUUUGUUAUCUGACACAAGUGUUUGUACAGUCGCGGCCAUUUCUAAAGGAUCGGAAAAGGUUCAUAGAGAUGGUGGAUCCUCUACUAGAAGGCCGGUACUCGGCCAAGAGCGUGCAGCACGCCAUCGUUGUGACGGCAAUGUGUCUUCAAGAGCAGGCAAACAAUCGGCCGAGCAUCGCAGACAUAGUGAACGCGCUGGAUUACUUGCAGGAGGAGAGAUCGCCAUCUAACACCAACCUUAAUGUCUCCUUGUCUUAGCUAGAUCCAUCACUAGAUCUUCAUUUUCAUUCUUUCUUUACAACUGCAUAUGUAUAUAUAUACAUCACUUAUAUAUAUAUAUAUAUGUAUGUGUUUAUGUGGAUGAAUCAGUCCCAAAGCGAAUUAGACAUUCAUAUUGAGAUUAGCUUCAUGCCUUUAAUUGAAGCUGUAUCUUUGUGAGCUUUUUACCUUUGUAGCAUCUACCUUAAAAUCAUACCAUCUUUGUUUCCAGCCUCGCUUUUAUCAUUGCCAACACCAUCAUUCGGUACUUAAAAAAUAGACUCGGGUUGCGUGUGUUGGUAAAGCGGUAAGAGAUUAUGUAAAAUAUUUAAAAAAUAAUGUAAAAUAACAAAAUUUAUAAUCCAAAUUAAAGACCAAUCUUAUUAUAUUUCAAUAUACCUUCAAAUUAUCUCAUUUUUUCUUUACAUAUCUAUUAUUUUUUUUCUCUAUUUUUCAAUGGAUCGAUGCAACAAUUUUUUUUCUUAUGUUUCAAUUUGUAUUUAAAAUUGCUAAAAUUAUUAUGAUUAAAAAAAAACAUAGUUAUAUAUAAUGUUAUGGCUAGGUUUUUUAAGCGAUUACAUUGAUAUAUAAAUUAUAAAAAAAUAGAGGUGACUGAAUUGUGAUCAUGAAUAUUAAUGUUGUGAAUGAGAAAGAUGGUUAGAUGGUUUAGAUAAGAUAAUUGGUAGUAAUAAAUAUAGUCUCAGUGCGAGCUUAACCCCCAACUCAGCCGUCUCUAUACAUAAUUAAAAAUAAUAUACAUUUGAAUCAAAACUGUCGAUCCUUACACCUUCUUUAUAUAUAGAUAUGCACAUAGGAUCAAUAUAUUGCUCACAUGUGAGAAAAUUAAAAUGGCAGAGAAUAAAUAUAUAUAUCUAAUCUACAAACAUAUAUAGGAUAAUACAAAAUUUGUCCUAGCUUGCAAGAUGUAAAUUCGAUGAUUUUUCUUGGAAUUUAAAUUAUGUGAAGUAUGAACAGUCCACAUCAAUUAUAUUAGCACAUGUGUUUGCCGGACUUAUAUUAGAUCAUUCACACAUAAAUUAUUUAUAAUUCACUCAAUUUUAUUACUAUUUUUAUUGCCUGAGCGAUAAUUUCUAGGAAAAGUGGAUUCAAUUUGAUUCGUUUGCUUCAAAGGAAAGAAUUCAGUAUUCGAGUGAAUCAAUUGAAUAUAUUGACUUUAGCUACUAAUUAACUGCAAUCGUUUUUUAGCUAGUACAUGUUUUGUUUUAUUUAACAAAACCACGUGUAAAACGUCAUCACAAUAUAUAUAUUUUAAAUAUUGUUUAAAACUAAAUAUUUAUAUAAUUUAGUGCGUGUCACAAUGUAUCGACGAUGUCGUAAAUUACGUAGUAAUGUCCUCAAUUUUCUUUGCUUUGAAGAAGGUUACUAGAUUGGCCAAUGAUGAUAAUAGCUUAUUGAAAAAUGGGGUCUAUUUUUCUUAUUAGUCGUGGAAAAAAUGUAAAUGAUAAUACGCGCAGUGUAAACCUUUUUCUUCUGUAUUAAUUAUUUAUUCCACGUGCCUCUUUUGGCACACAACAUAUAUUCAUGUACCUUAAGUUACUACCAUGUGUACUAACAUAUAGGCCUCAAAUUAAAUAGUUUUGCUAAGAUAACCAAAUUUUGGCUACUCGGAGGGAAAUUUCUGCAGAAACUUCCAUAGGUUAAUAGCUGUCAACUAUGGGAUAUAUAAGCAUAAUUAUUUAUAAUUCGUCAUUUUUAUUUAUAAGGAUUAAUUUUAUUCAUAACUGUUAAUUUUGUGGGCACAAAGCAUACCUAAUGAAAACUAUACACUUUUCACGUAACGUACACAUGUUCGCGUAUAUAAUAAUAAUAAUACACGUGGCAUCAAAGUUAAUGUGACGAUCAUAUUUAAUUAAUGAAAAGAAACAACACUUAAUUAAGGCUCAAUUACUUGCUAAUAAAUAAUUAUUCUAUUUCAAUUGAAAGCACAUUAAGAACUACGUACCUUGAUAUGUUAUUUUAAAAAAAUUGUUUCAUCUUCUACAAAAAUAAAUUAAUUUUUAUUAAUAAAAGUUCAUAGUCAUGUUUGAGCUAGAAGAUUGAUUCAAACUCGGCAUUACAAAUGAACUAAAAGUAGGAAAUGAGAUAAAGAUAACAUAAAUUAAUAUAACUGCAAAAUGUUAAACAAUUAACGUAGAUGUUACGAAUUCAUAAAAUAAAAACACGUUCUUAUAUAAAAAAAUAUUUGUAUUGAUAGAAAUUAACUCUUCUAUUAACUUCGAGUAUUAUAAUACUCCUAUAUUAUGUCUCUCUAGCUUUUUUCAUAAAAUGAAGGGCACUAUAAUUGAACCGAACACAAAUGGAACAAAAAAUAUUGUAUUUGAGAUACAUAGGUAGGAAUUGAAGUGAAUUGUGUGCAAUUGAAGACCUGGUCGAGAAAUAAUAACACACGUCAACAACCAAUAGCGCUUUUAGUUUUCUCAGCCGAGUAAAGGUAACCAGCACCACCUAAAGUCGCUAUCCACAUUCAAGUAUCUGACGCGGUCCAUACGCUAUCUUAAAUGUAAAUAAACUAAUUGUAUACAACUGUACGGACCUACACUGGCGAGAAUCUUUUGCUGACGUAUCCGAUGACGUCACUCCAGGGCCACGAUUACGAAUAUCGAUCACGACUCAUUUUGCCUCCUUUUUUUGCUUUUUCCUUCAUUUCAAUAAUGUGUUUCUUUUUAUUUGAUAAAUUGCUCAUGGAGUAAUAUAUAUAUAUAUAUAUAUAUAUAUAUAUAUAUAUAUAUAUAUAUAGUAGUAGUAGUAGUNNNNNNNNNNNNNNNNNNNNNNNNNNNNNNNNNNNNNNNNNNNNNNNNNNNNNNNNNNNNNNNNNNNNNNNNNNNNNNNNNNNNNNNNNNNNNNNNNNNNNNNNNNNNNNNNNNNNNNNNNNNNNNNNNNNNNNNNNNNNNNNNNNNNNNNNNNNNNNNNNNNNNNNNNNNNNNNNNNNNNNNNNNNNNNNNNNNNNNNNNNNNNNNNNNNNNNNNNNNNNNNNNNNNNNNNNNNNNNNNNNNNNNNNNNNNNNNNNNNNNNNNNNNNNNNNNNNNNNNNNNNNNNNNNNNNNNNNNNNNNNNNNNNNNNNNNNNNNNNNNNNNNNNNNNNNNNNNNNNNNNNNNNNNNNNNNNNNNNNNNNNNNNNNNNNNNNNNNNNNNNNNNNNNNNNNNNNNNNNNNNNNNNNNNNNNNNNNNNNNNNNNNNNNNNNNNNNNNNNNNNNNNNNNNNNNNNNNNNNNNNNNNNNNNNNNNNNNNNNNNNNNNNNNNNNNNNNNNNNNNNNNNNNNNNNNNNNNNNNNNNNNNNNNNNNNNNNNNNNNNNNNNNNNNNNNNNNNNNNNNNNNNNNNNNNNNNNNNNNNNNNNNNNNNNNNNNNNNNNNNNNNNNNNNNNNNNNNNNNNNNNNNNNNNNNNNNNNNNNNNNNNNNNNNNNNNNNNNNNNNNNNNNNNNNNNNNNNNNNNNNNNNNNNNNNNNNNNNNNNNNNNNNNNNNNNNNNNNNNNNNNNNNNNNNNNNNNNNNNNNNNNNNNNNNNNNNNNNNNNNNNNNNNNNNNNNNNNNNNNNNNNNNNNNNNNNNNNNNNNNNNNNNNNNNNNNNNNNNNNNNNNNNNNNNNNNNNNNNNNNNNNNNNNNNNNNNNNNNNNNNNNNNNNNNNNNNNNNNNNNNNNNNNNNNNNNNNNNNNNNNNNNNNNNNNNNNNNNNNNNNNNNNNNNNNNNNNNNNNNNNNNNNNNNNNNNNNNNNNNNNNNNNNNNNNNNNNNNNNNNNNNNNNNNNNNNNNNNNNNNNNNNNNNNNUAUAAGUAAGUAGUAGUAUAUAUAUAUAUAUAUAUAUAUAUAUAUAUAUAUAUAUAUAUAUUCAUGAUGGAAUUGAUCAAUAUCAUUUCAAUAUAUCAAUAUCUUUUGCUUUUUGUUUUACUUUUCCUUCAUUUCAAUAAUGUGUUUGUUUUUUAUUUGAUAAAUUCAUGAUGGAAUAUAAUUCAUGACUAGGAAAUAAAAAAUGAUAAAAUCUCAAUUCCGUUAGCGGAAAAUGUCAAAUGUUACCUCAUAGUAGAAGCUUAAUUAUAAUUAGAUAUUCAACCUAAAGUUGUUAUUAAAGUAGAAUGGAUUUGAUGAAUCAAUCUAUUAGAUAGUGAUUUAUAACAUUAUAUUUACACUUUCCCAUCAACUAGAAAGUGGAAAUAGUCAAUCAGGAACUCUAAAUUAAAUAAUAACAUGAAACGGUCAAAAUAAUUUUAUCAAAACCUAACGUGACUAAGCAACUGAAGAUACAUUAUAGUCGAAAGGAUUGGGCAUUUAACAUAAAAGAACUUUUCGACAUAAAAUAAUACUCUAUUAAAUUAAAUAACAAACAUGUCACUAUACAUUUAAUAUUCUUGAAUUGAUCGGUUAGUAUAUUUUGGUUAUAUUCACUGAACUCUAUGCUUUCACUAACUUCAAAAUAGUUUACUUUUAUUCGGAGAUACCAAAUCAUCGCACCUUUUAAUUACUUGCCUUGCAUAAAUUAUACUCUCUCCGUUCUAAUAAUAGUGUCUCGUAAUUUUUUAACGCGAAGAUUAAGAAAUAUGUAAAAAGUAAAUAAAGUGUGUUUAUAAAAAUUAUUUAUAUAUUAAAUAUAGAUGAAGAAUAUAUUACCAAAAAAAUAAAACAUUUAUAUUGGGACAUCCUAUUAAAAAAAUAGGAUAUUACUAUUGGGACGAAGUGUGCUGAUGUGAAAGUUAUACGUAUAUACUUUUACUGAGAAAUGGCAAAUCAUCGCACCUUUUACUUAACUUGCAUGUAUAAAUUUUAAGCACCUCUUACUUUAUUUGCAUAAAUAUAAGAGGCAGAGGCACAACUAUGUCUCCUAACAAAUUAUUAGUAUUUCCAUAAAAAAAAAAACAAAUUAUUAGUAUUGUUUAAAAAAAAACAAAUUAUUAGUAUUUAUAAAAAUAAUAAUCAUAAUUAAAUUUUAGUGAGGAUGAAUGCAUUGAAGUGUGCCUCUAGAAGGGCCGCACUCCGGAGUCCGGCCACACUAAUUUUAAGUAAUUCUAUUUUUUUUAGGCGAAAGACAAGUAAUUUUAUUACUCAACGUCAAAACGUACAAUGUCCUCCAACCAAGGAGGGUAAUCACUUGUCCAAACCAUGCUACCAACAACAUCACGCGCAGCCUGCGCUAGUCUAUGUGUGGCAAGAUUAGCCGUUCGAUACAUGUGGAAGACUCCCAAUAAGCACUCAUCUCUCGCUGCCGUAAGAAUGUCUUGAAAAUCCUGGGGAAGGAAUGCCCGAUCUUCUUCCGGUCCAUCCAUAAUCCGUGCCGCAAGCAUUGAGUCGGUGAAGAUGGUAAAGGGGGCCAAGUCUUCUUCGACACAAAGGAUGAUCCCAAAGAUCACAGCCAUGACCUCUACCACCAUGGAGUUGGACGUUGGCUGUGUUUUCUUGGCCAUAGCAGCGCGAAUCCUGCCCUCAUGGUCGCGCACAACAACACGGAAAGUACCUCGUUUCGGCCGAAGCCACACCUUCUCUCCCAGCUGUAGGCCCAUCACCGUGUUCACUGCAAACGCCGGUUUAGCAUCCUGGAAAGCAUCCCAGAGCGCCACACAUUCGGUCUCGGUGACACGUCGGUCCUCCCUCUUCCCAUCAUGCUUCGCCUUACACUUCGCCACCCACACCUGCCAAACCAUAACCACCCAAAUCUCAAACUCAUCCUUUUGGAAUUCUUCGCAAAUCGCCCCCGCAACACCCCAGCUCCAUGUGCUGCGCCUUACAUAACGUUGCCCAGAAACGUGAGUUCUGCCAUGUCUUUCUGAGAGAAGAGCAAAACAGUAAGCUGUGGGACGUCCACAAAAGAACUUCCUACCUAUUUUUGGACUAUACCCCACCACUUAUAAUCUUUUAACUUUUCACUUUUCACAACUCUCAAUAUUAAUUAUACUCCAUCCGUCCCAUUAAAGUUGGCCACAUUUCCUUUUUGGGCGUCCCACUAAAGUUGGCUACUUUCCUUUUUGGGUAAAAAUUACACCAAAUUAAACUCUAUAAUUAAGUCAACUAAUCUACACCUAUUAACCUAACCUAUCCUCACUCAUAUUUCUCUCUCUCACACCGCAUCUCCCUCUCGCCUCUCACUCUCUCCCCCUUCUCUCCCUCUCUCCCCCUCUGUUCUUCUCCGGCAGACGCAACCCCCAAGGCCGCCGCCGCCUCUCCCUCUCUCCCCUUCUGUUUUUCUCCGGCGAACGCAACCCCCAUGGCCGCCGCCGCCUCUCCUCCCUCUGUUCAUCUCCGGCGAACGCAACCCCCCAUGGCCGCCGCCGCCUNUCCCUCUCUCCCCCUCUGUUCUUCUCCGGCGGACGCAACCCCCAUGGCCGCCGCCGCCUCUCCCUCUCUCCCCCUCUGUUCUUCUCCGGCGGACGCAACCCNCAUGGCCGCCGCCGCCGUCUCUCCCUCUCUCUCCCUCUGUUCAUCUCCGGCGGACGCCAUCCCCAUGGCCACCGACUAUAGUUCAAGCCGACCGCGGAACGAUGUAUGGAAUGUUCAGUGAACCGAUAAAUUUUGCAAUUUUGAGAUAGGGUUUGGGAAUUUUUGAUGAUUUUCAAUAGAAGGUCAGAUUGCUUUAUGGAAUUGGGGCUUUUUGAUUCUGCAUUCUGAUUUGGUUUGGAGUGUCUGGUGUUGGGGUCAGAUUUUGUUUUUGAUUCUCUGGCAGCUCUUUGUCGCCGGAGAAGAAGGUAAGAACUUUGUCUUUGGCGGCGGUGGUGGUUGUUGGCAACGGUGGUGGUGGUUUUUGGCAGAUUUGAGGGUGGUUGGCUCUUGGAUUGGGAGGGAGACGAGGGGGACAGAGGGAGACGAGGGUGGCGGCGACUUCGCCGGAGGAGGGAGUGGCUGAUGCCGGCGACUUCGCCGGAGGUGGGUGGCAGUGCAGGAAGAAGAAAGUGAAAGGAGGAAUAAAUUAUUUUAAUUAACUCAAUAAUUUUGAUGGGCCCCACUCAAUUAAAACAUAACACUUCAUUUCUUAAUCUCCGUGCCGAAACAAAUGUAGCCAACUUUAGCGGGACGGAGGGAGUAACACAUUUUCACCACUCCCAAUACACUCAACUAUCUUUUAUCCACUCUCAAUACACUCAACAAUAUUUUUUCUUAAAACCCGUGUCAUUCCCUCAUAGGAAGUUCUUUCAUGGACGAAUGGAGUAUUAUUUUAUAAAUAAUUGACUGAUGUUUGUAGACAUUUGUUCGGAAGUUUUCAUCUUGACUGAAUAUAUAAUGAGUUUACAAUUAAAAUGUUGUAAAUACAAAUCCAACAUUCUAGAUCGAGCAUUUUGUAUUGUGAGCUCAUCUUGAACAAUUUAUACUUUUUAGGGUUCGUUUCCUUCCAUGAAAAAAGGACAAUUUCACUAUUUUUACAUAUUUUCAUCAUUUUUUCACAAUUUCCACAUAUUUAUUAGUAUGAUAUAAAAUUUUCUCAUGGCAAUAUUUUUUCGGACAACUUAUUUUCUCUCUAAUAUUGGAUAAUACUCCCUCCGUCCCCUAAAUAACUUCCUAAUGUUUCUUUUCGGUCCGUCCCCAAAAAAACUUCUUUUUUCAUUUUUGAAUACUACUUCACCACAAUUAAUUCUCUAUUUACCCUUAUUUUUUACAUUUUCAUCACUCUCAAUACUCCAUCUAUCCUUACUUUUUACAUUUUCAUCUUAAAACUCAUAUAUCUUCCUUAUAGUAAACAUGUCAUAAAAAGAAAAGAAAAAAUAUACUAUGUAUAUUUUUUUUCUUAUCCAUUGUUUUUCAAUGAAAAUUUUACAAUUGAUAUAAAUGCAAUCCUUAUACUCCCUCCAUCCCAUUAAUCUUAUCUUAUUUUGCUUUUUGGGUUGUCUCAAUAAUAUUAUCUUAUUUUUAUUUUUGGUAAUAAAUUUACACUACAAACAAUAUAAUCUCACACAUUUACACACUUUUAGGGAGCGUUUACUUUGCAUGAUUGAUAAAAUGAAUGAUUGAGUAUUUUUAUCCUCAAGAGUAGGAUAACUCCAAUCUCACUCUUUUCACGCGAUAUGAAUUAAGUAAAACUAGCUUGAAUGAUAAAAAUAAUCAAGUGCUUUGAGAUAUCUUAAAGUUACACUCCAUCAAAGUAAACAAAGGACUAAUCUUACUAUUUUUAUCAAUUAAUACUAAAAACGUCUUAAUUUAACUCUUUUUAAUUAAUAAUGGUGCCAAAAAAAAUAGGAUAAGCUUGUUGGACGGAGGGAGUAUGAUUCACAAAUCAUUCCUAAACCACGCUGACUAGCAACAGUGCUACGUUUAUCUUGGGAAGGAAGAAAUAGAGAAGACGAAGAAGAAUGAAACGUAGUAGCUGGGAAUAUUUCACUUGAGUGAUAAUUGAAUAAGUAUUUAUUUGGGUAUUGAAAAUUGAAAAUAAAAAAUUAAUGUGAAGCACAUCAAGUGGGCCCGCAUCCCAAAAUUGGAGGUGAAGGUCGUUGACCCUACCCUCAAACAUGUUCGCCCAACUUCCAUCCAUUCACACUUGAAUAUUUGCGUACAUGCUAACAUAUAAAAAAGAUGCAAAAUUAACAAAUUUCUCGUCGGAGUCAAUGAAUAACUAUUUUGAUCUUCAAACUAAACUCAACAACGGAUAAUUUAUACUAUAUAAAAAGUCACUACUACAUUUUCAUUUGACGAGGCAAAUAAAAAAAAUCGUUAUUAAUGCUAUUCUCAUUGUCCUCAUUAAAGAUUACUCUUUUUUCAUUUUGAUUUGUCAUGUUAAAACUAAUCUAAUUUAUAAAGAUAAUUGAAAAGGUCUUUAAAAGAUGUGUCCUACCACUUUUAUUCAAUUUAUACUUUUUUUUUAAUUUUGAUUUGAAAAGAAAUAAACAAUUUUUUUUCUUAUGUGUAUUAUUUCACAAAUCACAAAAAAAAUAAUAAUAAUAAUCAACUCUCAAAAUACUAAAAGGUUAAAAAUUUCUAUGAUGAAAUAAUCAACUCUCAAAAUCAAUUAGUAUUAAUUAAAGCACGCGAAAUUUAUUGAAAAAAAAAUUGAAGAAAAUGCGAAAAGUUUAUAGGAGGAACACCAGAAAAAAAAAAAAAAAGAUAGAAAAAAAAGAAUGAUUUUUGUGUAACUCAAGUCUCCCCAAAGAAAGUAAAAUAGUAUUUUUCAUAUUUUAUAUAAUAUUGAUUCAUGCUUUCCCAAUUAUUCUCUAACAUUCAAGGUGACGAUGAAAUGAGAUUUUAUUAAGAAAAGGAAACCAACUAAAACCCUUGAGAGCAUAAGGCGCAGACUAAGGGUCGAGUGUCGUUAAAAUCUCUGAAGGAUAAGAGGAAAAAGAGUACUCGUCUAAGCAAAAAACUGAGAGUGGGGGGAAAGGAGCGGAGGUGGAACUACCUCAGAAGCUCCGGCCGAACCAUUACCUCUAGAUAGCCCCGGCUCAUUCCACCCAAAUAACACAUUAAAAAUAAAUUGCAAAAGCGAGAGCAACAAGCAAAAAAACACAAAGCAUGACAAACCAAAAACCCCCAAAAGAUAAAACAAUGAGGGACUAAAGAGCAACCCAAGGAGUCCGACCGAGAACCGGCCAGAGCCCAGCGCACCGAAGCUCUGAAAAAAGCAGACCCGACACUCCGCACCCAAACCCCAAACCGAACAACUAACAACCAUCAAAAAAUGACCCAUAUAAGUCUUGUGGCUGUCUUUGCGAACCAGCUGUGCAAUUUCAGGCAUAGGCACCGACCAGAAACCAUUGGUAGAAACAUUGGAGGCCAGAUAAUCGCCGACACGAUUGCCCUCCCUAUAAAUGUGUGAAAUACGAACGUAAAAACACAUAAAUUUUAAAAAAAAAUAUAGAUAUUCCCAUUUAACUAGCAAGUGACUUCAAAGUGCAUCAUCAUCAUCAUAAUAAUAAUAGGUGGGAAUUACUAUGUAAAAUUAAAAAGUUGUGGGAAACAUCCGAAAACAAUGUUUACACGCAAUUAAUCCUUUUAGAAUUUGAUUUGAGUUAUACUCCAUUAUCUAUCUGGGCAACAAUUAAUCCUACAUGAACUCUCAAAUUUUAUUAUCUGGCGUUUCAGCCGAUAAUUAAAAUAUUACCUUUUAUGUACAUAAAAAUGACGUUUUCUUUUUCGAAAAUCACGCUCCAUGAAGUCUACCGCUCGCAACAUAACACGAAAGAUUAAAAAAAACGGCAUUUUAUGUUUCAUAAAAAAAACGUUUCAAUUAUCAAUUGAAAUGACACGUAAUAAAAUUUUGACGUCCAUAUAAGAUUAAUAUUAAUUAAUUAAGAUCAAAUUCAAAAAUAUUAAAAGUUUAGUUAUUAAUUGAAAAAAGAAAAGUAUGGUCCAAAAAUCAAAAUUAAUUUUCCAAAACUAGAUACACAUGCAAUUAAAACCUAAUAUUUCCACUUAUAUUAUCAGAAAAAAACAGAUACUAUCAGAAAACAGAGAGAGAUGAGUUUGAAAAAGUCCACAGAAGAAAGUUUUCUUCCUCAGCUUAUUAUAUGCAUAUAUAUAUAUAUAUAUAUAUAUAUAUACACACACACANNNNNNNNNNNNNNNNNNNNNNNNNNNNNNNNNNNNNNNNNNNNNNNNNNNNNNNNNNNNNNNNNNNNNNNNNNNNNCUCUCUUCAUCUUUAUCCCACUUCUCCUCUCCCAUUCAAAUCCUAGAGAGAGAGAUGGGAAACUGCUGGCCCAAACCUGUUGCCAGCAACAGCACCAGACCUCCCAGCCCAGGUAUAUACUAUAUGCACACACACACACACAGAGCCACGGACACGAUCUGAUGAGCGUCCGAUAAAUUUUCUUUUAAUUAAUUUGUUAUAUUUAAUUAGGUUGUAAUUUGAGUUACUAUAUGAAAUUAUGAUUUCGUUCCGUCCCGUCCAAACUUGUAUCCUUUAUCAGUUCAGACGGGCCUCAACAGGAGCAACAGCCCUCCGCCGCCGCGGACUGCGGCGGCGAUUCCACCUAGCGGCCAGAUCAAAACUCCGAAUCUAAAAAUGUUCACCUACGCCGAGCUAAGAAGCGCCACCAGGAAUUUCCGGCCGGAUACGGUGCUCGGAGAGGGAGGUUUCGGAAGAGUUUUCAAAGGCUUCCUCGACGAGAAAACCCUAGCGCCGUCGCGAGUCGGCGUCGGAAUGCCCGUCGCCGUGAAGAAAUCGAAUCCCGACAGCGAACAAGGCCUCAAAGAGUGGCAGGUAACACAUUAAUUAAUUUUUCACGAAAAUAUUAAUAUUUCAUGAUCAUGAGUACAGGUCAAUAUCUAGUUUUUAUCGCUAAUGCAUGUGCUCACGCUAUCAUCAUUUUUAACUAAGUAAAACUAAUCAUUAAUUACGGAACAUACACUACAAGAAAACAAAUGAUUACCAGUGGCGUUUGCCGUCGGUAAUUUCAAGGCGGCCGCCGGAAAACGAACUAACGCCGCCGGAUAACACAAUUACCGACGGCAAAACACACCGCCAGUAAUUACCGGCGGCGGUACCGCCAUUAUAAUUCGUCGGUGAACGGCGGAGAACUACCGGCAUAUUACCGGCGGCAGCUUGUCGCCGGUAAUUACCUGCUGCGAUUUUGCCGCCGGCAAUCUUCACCGAAGGGCGGUGGUGUUUUCCGCCGGAUACUGUGUCCGCCGGUAAUUGUUUUUGAAAUUUAUUUAUUUAUAUAUAUUUUUAUUUAUUUUAUUUAUUUAUUUAUUUCAUAAGUUAGACGAACUUUUCAGUCGGUCACUCAUCUUAGUUGUGCUCUAAGUCAAGCAUGCUUAACUUUGAAGUUACUUUUGAAUGAUCACCAGUACAGAACACUCGUAUUAUUGAUAUAUAUAGUAUCUAUUAAUUCAUUUAAAGUAAUUAAAUUUAAAACAAUCAUUCAUUGGACCGCCGGUAAUUGCCGGCGGUAGCUCUGCCGCCGGUAUUUCGGCGUUUUUUUGUGGUGAUAUAGCAUGUAAUUUGCAUGUAACAUGUGCUGCUUAAUUAUGUAUAAUUAAACGGCAAUUAGUAGUAAUUUCAUAUGAUGAUUGCAGUUAUAAUAUAAAGAUGGUAUGUGAAUUAGGCCUGCAAUUUCUUCAUCGAAAAGUCAACAGCCAAACUUCCUACGUGUUUCAUUAAAUACGCAGUUUGAUUACAUUGACCCAUUAAUACUUUUAAAAUAGUUUUCCUUCUUCCCAAUCCAGAUAUUUUUCGAGUAAAUUAAUAGUACUACAUGUUUUGAAAUUUUUCUAUGAUUAUCUUGACUUUUUAAGUAUAUAUUAAUUAUUUUCUAUUGGUGCAGGCGGAGGUAAAAUUCUUGGGAAAAUUCAGCCAUCCAAAUCUUGUGAAAUUGUUGGGUUAUUGUUGGGAGGAAAGGCAGUUUCUCCUUGUCUAUGAAUACAUGCAGCGAGGAAGCUUAGAAAGUCACCUAUUCAGAAGUAAUAAUCCACUAGCCUAUCUGGUUUUCAUUUUUGAUUAGUACAUUGUUUUUUUUUUUUNCCAAGAAAAUAGUUACAUGAAAAAAUUAAAAUAGUUAUAUAUAUUUGAUUAAAUUAUGAUUUUUAGAGAUUGAUUAAUUACUGUUUACAGAGGGAGGCGAGCUAAUUCCCUGGGAUAUUAGGAUUAAAAUAGCCACCGGAGCAGCUCGAGGAUUAGCAGUCUUGCACACUACUGAAAAAACAGUAAUCUAUAGAGAUUUCAAGGCCUCAAACAUAUUACUCGAUAAGGUAAUUAAUACUCACAGCAUUUUAUAUAUGCUUGAUUUAAUUCGAGUUCUAUGAAAAUGAAUCUAUAUACGCACGACGACCUUUUUUUAUUUGAUAGUAUUACAUUUCUGAUUAGCCCAUGUUUCUUAUUUUUAGGAUUUCAAUGCAAAGCUUUCCGAUUUUGGACUUGCUAAAUUAGGUCCAGUCGAUGGCAAUUCUCACGUAACAACUAAGGUUGUUGGCACCUAUGGCUACGCUGCCCCUGAGUAUAUAGCUACAGGUAGCUACAUUUUAUCAAAUACUCCACUAAUUAAUUAACAGUUUUUAAAAUUAAAAUUAAUUACUAUUCAUAAUUGCUUGCAGGCCAUUUGUACGUGAAGAGUGACGUGUAUGGUUUUGGGGUGGUAUUGUUGGAAAUAAUAACGGGCUUGCGGGUUCUCGACCCGAACCGGCCCAGCGGGCAGCUUAAUUUGGUGGAUUGGGCCCGACCGUCCCUACCCGACAAAAAGAAGCUCAAAAAAUUAAUGGAUCCACGUCUGCAAGAAGAGUACCCACCAAACGCUGCAUGUGCAACAGCCGAGCUCAUACUAAAAUGUCUCGAGCCCGACCCGAAAUGCCGGCCCGAUAUGGAGGCUGUUUUGCAGAGUUUGGAAGAGAUUAGCCACAUUCAAAUGAAGCCCAAGAAACAAAGAGGCGAGCCGAAGCAAGGCCCACAACACCACCACCAGCUGCCGUUGCCCCACCAUGCCUACCGCGGAAGUGGCGGAGGUAGGGGUGGCGCCGCCGGGCAUCGGCAACAUAAUGCCCGUAGUUAAUUACUAACGGAUUUUGAUGUUGUUGGGCGUAUAAAUAACAUAGGCCCACAUUUUUUUUAUGCCCGAAUUGGAGGCCUAGUAUUAGACGUUGUGCUACUUGUAGGAAAUAUAUAUGUGUAUAAUCAAUGUCGAUGUUGUGUUGUUUUGGUUAUUGGAUAGUGUGAUAUCCUAUUAUUUCUCUACAUUUGAUUUUGCACCCAAUUGUCCAAACAACAUGAAUAAUUUAAGGAAGCGAAUUCGCUUGGAAACUACGUAUGGGUUGAGGCCCAUAAACAAAUUACUACUUAAUGAGAUGUAUCUCGUAAUAAUAUGUUUAUAUCUGAGGUUCUAGUAAUGAGUUAAAAUAAUUUUUUUUUAAAUAUAAAUUAAAAAUUAAGUUUAGCACUUAGAUCAUGAAGGGAGCAAAAAAAAAUUAACUUCAUUCCUUUAUACAGGAAAUUUAUACACAUUCCACAUUAAAUUCGUGAGUUCAUAAUUUAUAUUUUAAAACGAAUUUAUGAACAAACCCACCCCUGAGGUUCUUCUAUACAACACAUAAUAUUUGUGAAUUUAGAUCAAAUUCUUAGUUAAUGUAAUUUUGUUUAGGUAUAAAUCAUUAAAGCUAGUUAAAAUAAUGAUGUAUUUUACAUGGUGGUCAUUUUAACUUGGGGUUCAAUCCCACUUGCGAGCGGUGUAGUUUUUUUUAUUUUUGUGCAUGGAUAGUGUUUUCAUUUUUGUGUGGAUAGUGGUUCCACCUGUUUGAAACUAUUUCCCACAUUUUGUGGUGCAGAGGUACUGUUUGCGUGAAAAUUACUUAUUUAAUUAUGUUUAAAUAUCUUUUGUAAUUCUAAUUAGAAAAAAAUAGAAAGUAAAGACAUUUAAUAGACAGAAGUAGAUAAGAAGGUAACACACAUAAACCGCAUUACAAUAAAAAGGCCAAAUGUGUCCAAGCACAUAGAUAUUACAACACGCAAUAAACUUUACAGAAGUAAAAAGAAAUUACGAUGGACGAUAAUUGUAGUUGGAAACACCCGAUUAUGUUUACACCACUUAUUACUUCAUCAAAACAUAUAGGAAUAGGAGUAUAUGCUUUGUUGCUUCCUUCACAUGGUUGGCCUCACAUUCAGACGGGACGCCAGUUUCUGACCAAGGGACUUGUCGACCUGCGCCGCAAUUAACGCUAAUUAAUAUACUCCAAAUAAUUAAAUACACAUAUAGAUAUAAUUAAGAUUAAAGUUGGUACCUGAGUCCACCACGAUAUCCAAAUAGCACGUAUCUCGUGGGUGAGACGGGGAUCCGAUAACGCAUCAACCCAUCGCUUCACAAAUCUGUCUUGCCUGUCUGGUGCCCAUGAACGGUAUCUGACUCCGGGUUCCUUGAAGUUAUUCUCCUUAUCGAUGCACACCCUUUCACGUCUCCCGGUUAUGACGGCGGUGGGAAUGGGGUGCUUCUCGGCAUGGCGGCAAGGGUCAUACUUGGAGGGGAAAUAAUUCACCUCCUCAUCCCUAUGCAUGAAGUUCAUGAAGCCAUCAUGGUGGUUGUUGCGAUGGGGGCAUUUCGGGCAUUCACCGGCAGCAUCAGGUGGUUGGGCCCAAGCCUAUGGCGCUGCGUGUCUCCAUACGCAAAAGUCCGGCAUUGAAGCAUCUUGUCGUUGGAGAAGUAAAUCCCGGGCACGAUGACGGAGGGAUUGAAGGCCAGCUGCUCAUUCUCCGUGAAGAAAUUGUCAAUGUUCUUGUUGAGCACCAUCCUCCCCACGGGCUGCAGGGCAGGAUGUCCUCCGGCCACGUCAGCGUCACGUCCAGCGGGUCGAAGUCGAACUUGUCCUCGUCCGCCGGGUCCAUGAUCUGGAUGAACAGCUUCCACUCGGGGAAGUUGCCGGCGGUGAUGGAGUCGUACAGAUCCUUGGUGGCGUGGCUGUGGUUGGCGCCGCCGAUCACCUUGGCCUCCUCGUCCGAGAGGCACUUGAUGCCGCAGGUGGGCUUCCAGUGGAACUUCACGUAGUUGACCUUGCCGGCCUUGUUGAUGAGGGUGAAGGUGUGCACGCCGAAGCCCUCCAUGUGCCGGUAGUCCUGCGGGAUGCCGUAGUCGUCGAAGAAGAAGGUGAAGGUGUUGAGGCUCUCCGGGAUGUGGGAGAAGAAGUCCAGGUAACGCCAUGUUUCCUGGAUGUGGGAUUUCGGGUUCGGUUUCAUCGCGUGGAUCAGGUCCGGGAACUUCAUCCCGUCCCGGAUGAAGAACACCGGGAUGUUGUUUCCCACCAUGUCGAAGUUUCCCUAAUCAAUAAAUUAAACAAACACCAAUUUGGUCAUUGUUGAGCUAUUUUUUAAUUUUUCUUUUUAGCAAAUCAUUUGAGCUAAUAUGUACCUCUCUGGUGUAGAAUUUGAUGGCGAAACCCCGAGGGUCCCGAAGGGUUUCGGGGCUGCCGCGUUCGUGGAUGACGGUGGAGAAGCGGAUGAUGAGCGGGGUUUGAACGCCCGGUGCUCGGAGGAAAUCGGCGCAAG